rnacentral:lncRNA from 1 species
CCAGGGUUGUGACCAUAAUGUGGUGGCUUCUCUCCCUUAGGUGGCUUGCCAACUGGGGUUGGUGGCUUGUGUUCAGGAAGUGGUUUCUCUCCCUUGGGAGGUUUACCAAUUGGGGUUGGUGGCUUGUGUUCUGGGAGUGGUUUCUCUCCCUUGGGAGGUUUAGUGGGUGACUUGUGUUCUGGAGGUGGCUUCUCCACCGGAGGCUUGUGCUCCGGUGGUGGCUUCUCCACCGGAGGCUUGUGCUCCGGUGGUGGCUUCUUGAUUGGAGGGGGCUUGGGGUAAUCAGCAAGAGAUGGGAUGGUGAGAACCACCACUCCAAGGAACAACACUAGCAAGUAUGUGGGAGACAUUUCUGAGUUUGAGCUGAUCAGAUGAUGCAAAACUAGAAGAAUUACGGGACCUUUUAUAGCAAGUAUCUCCCAAUACCCACAUGACACGUGUUACUAUGACCAUAAAUAUUAUAGGGUCCAUUUGUGCCCUACCGGGUUGAAAACUUGGACGCUUGGCCGAGGACACACCUGACUAUGGAGGACUAUUGACGUGUGAUCACAGCUUUUGGAUUUUUCUUCCUGUGCAGCUGUCUAGCGGUUGGCAUUAUUUUCUUAAUCUUAAAUAAAGGCAUAGUUAUAGAGUUGUUUAAUCUCUAAAUGGGAUUUUAUAUAUCUUCAGAUAGCCAUUAAUAUAUUUGAUGAAGAAAGACAAGUGCAUACAACAUGUAUACGGCUUGCUUCAAUCGAGUACAUUUAUGAUCAGUUUUCCUGUGCAAGUAAACCAGUUUUUUGUUCCACAACUAUUUUGGAAUCUUGUUUAUCAGUUUCUAUCAUUAUAAUGUCACAUAGGCUGCAAACUUGGGCACCCAAAGAUCUAGGUGGGCAAAUUUGUUUCAGACUUUCAAUGGUGGAUUCAGUAAUUGUUAAAAGGUGUUUCUUCAUUAAGGAAAGAGUCCGGUAAAAAUAUUGUUAAAAGGUGUCAUAGAAACUAUAAUAAAUAAAUAACUUCUUUUCCCCAUGGGUGGUGUUUCUUCUGGGGAUCAGUGACUGGUUAGGGUCACCCAAAAUGAGUCCAGAUUAAAAUUGGUUCGAGUCAAAGCAGUCUCUUUUGUCCAGAAAUCAACUAUUUUGCGCAUUGAAUGAAUCGAUAAAGAAAAAAUGAAAGCCAAAUCACACCUCCCCUGCAAAACCUAAACCCCGGUUGCUAACUUUCUAUGUUUCAGUCCUAUUCAUAUAGGAAUAUUGGUUCAAGUUUGAGAAAAAUGGCAACUUACCUAGGGUUUACUUGGUUUUGGUUUGCGACUAUUUACGCAACCAACCAUGAGUUUGACUUUAACGUCAUGGGUUGAAGCCUCCUACAAUCAUGUAUGAUAGUUCAAAGCUCGUGGAAGAAAUUAUACAGGAAGGAAGAAACCUCCAAAGCUAGCUCCAAAAGAGAAUUAUCACAUCGAUAGCUCCAGAGAUUCCCAAGGGAACUGAAUCAAAGACAAGUUCCUCACUUUUUCUUCUUUUGAGGCCAAAUAUGAACCAAGGAUCACACGACCUCAUUCAACUUCAUAAGUUUGAUUUCAUGCAGUUGAACACUGGGUGAAGGCCAUGACAAGAAUUGAUUAAAAAAUUCUACCACUCUUUUAAGUAAUGGAAGAUUAUUAUCUCUGAUUGGCACCACAACAGCACAUGCUGCUAGAUCUUUCUAGACACUCCAUGCAAUGAAAGCACAAUGGAUCUUGUAAUGAUAGAAACUAAGCCAUGCUACAGUACUAGAUGAGGGGGUAAAACUAGUAGACAUCUUUCUAGACACUCCAUGCAAUGAAAGCACAAUGGAUCUUGUAAUGAUAGAAACUAAGCCAUGCUACAGUACUAGAUGAGGUGGUAAAACUAGUAGACAUGGCUGGCAGUUGAUUACUACUCAAAAAGUACUCUUUUAUAGCUUGAAACUAACUGUUUUAAACACUUUUGAGUAGUAGUUAAUACCUUUUAACUUAAUUGGCACAUUAAGGAACCUAGCAAGGGUUACUAAUCAACAUUUGGCAAGUUUUGAUGUUUUUGGUAGCUAUUUGAUCAUUGAAACAAGCCAAGAAUGAGGGGGAAUUUUGUGAAGUCCAUGGCAAUGCAAGUUAAAGCUCAAAUACAUGAAGAAUCCAAGCUUUGGAGCACUUCAUAGCCCUUUGCCAAGCCAAUCAAAGAUGCAAGGAAGAAAACCAAAGGAAGAAAUCCAACAAUCAGCAUUUUGGCAUGGCUAUGUGAAAUUUCGCACACCAUGCGAAACCACAAGAGGCAGCCAAAGAAUUUCGCAUGGUAUGCGAAAUCUUCUUGUGCACUGACUCUGUUAGAUUUUUAUCUUCAGAUAUUUUGUGUAAUUUCCUAGUUUCUCCUUGUAACCAACUUAGAUAUUUUCUUUUAUAUCUUUUUUUAUAUUUUUUAGGUAACAUCAUAUAUAAGAGGAGAGACAUAAGGAGGAUAUGGAUGUUUUUCAUAGAACACUUGUAAAUUUUUGGUAGUAAGAAAUAUACAAAGCUUUUUGCUCUGCCUUACCUUCUCAAGGGAUGAGUGGCUAGGUUUUCUUGGAGUGAGGGAAGCUAGGUGAAGGACCUGAAUGCAAAGGUGGGAGUUUUCCUUACUUUAAAUGAAAGUAGUUGUUAAACAUUAAUGGUUUUUAUUUUAAGGUUUAGCUUUAAAUCCCUGAAAAACACCUUGAAUGGCCAAUACUUGGUAAGCUUUUUAGAUUCUAUGGAUGCUUAUUGCUAGAUCCAUGGAUGUCUAUUAGUUAUCAUUUACGAGCCAUUGGAAGGUGAUUCAAGGUGAGGGUCUUUAGUGUUUGAAGCCAUUAAUGGGAAGCAAUUACCAUUUUUUCAUGAAUCCUUUGGAUCAAAUCUUAAUUGCUAAAUAUAAAACCGGUUUCGAGAGAUAACCACCAUCCUUUAUGUUAUUAUCCCCAACGCGAGGAGAAGAUCCGAAAUCUUCCUUUUUAUCUAAGGAACCCGAUCCUAGUGACCUAAAGCUCCAAGAUACCUUUUCUUUGUAGUUAACUUCAUUUAUUGUUUUUGCUUAACUUAAAAUCAAUCUUUGCAACCACAAUUCCAUUUUCUUUAAAAGCUAAUUUUUAUAAGGAAAAACACCAUUUUAUUUCCUUCACUAAGUCAACUGUACGAUGAAAACCCAUCCCUGUGGACGAUCCUAGAGCCACUAUACUAUGUUAGCUAUGCUACCCUAGUGUGAGGUGAUUUAGGUUUUAUAAAUUUUUUUGAUAACACCCAUCUGAGCCAGAAUCAAAUGGCACGACUGAACCAGGGACGAAUCAAAUGACGCCGCUACCAAGGAUGGUGCCAAAGUACAUUGACAUGACUUUUGGUGAACACUUGUGAUCUUCACCACAAGUUUGGUGAUUUUUCUUUUACUAAUUUUUUUUAUUUUAGCUUAUCUUUUAUUUAGUUUUUAGUUAACCUUAAAUUUUUCCUAGAAUUGUAUUUCUUUUGUUUUCUUUGUUUUUGUUUCAGUGAUCUUUAGUUGUGCAUGCCCUAUUGGAUAAGAGAUAUUGAGGGAAUACUUGUGAAGAUUGAAACUCCUCGAGAAACUGAGUUAGAAGUGUGCUUGAACAUCAUGGAUGUUCCACCUGAAGACCAGAAUAGCCAACAUGGUUAAGAGGAUAAUUUCAACACAUACCGAUCCAUGAGGAACCGCAUACAUCCACCUUGUAUGAGUGCACCGUCAGGCAUAAUGCCUCCCACUGAGCAGCUAGUAAUCUGACCUCACAUUGUGCCACUCCUACCUACUUUCCAUGGGAUGGAGAGUGAGAAUCCCUACUCGCAUAUUAAGGAAUUCGAGGAGGUUUGUAAUACAUUCCAAGAAGGAGGAGCUUCAAUUGACUUGAUGAGGCUCAAGCUAUUUCCUUUCACUUUGAAGGAUAAGGCCAAGAUUUGGCUUAAUUCUUUAAGGCCAAGAAGUAUCCAAACUUGGAUUGAUUUGUAAGCCGAGUUUCUUAAGAAGUUCUUCCCUACCCAUAGGACCAAUGGUUUGAAAAGGCAAAAUUUGAACUUCUCAGUUAAAGAGAAUGAGAAAUUCUAUGAGUGUUGGGAGAGCUACAUGGAAGCUAUUAACGUUUGUCCUCACCAUGGCUUUGACACAUGGCUCUUAGUGAGCUAUUUUUACAAUGGUAUGUCUUCUUCAAUGAAGCAACUCCUAGAAACUAUGUGUGGAGGAGACUUCAUGAGUAAGAAUCCGGAGGAAGCCAUGGACUUUUUGAGUUAUGUGGCUGAAGUUUCAAGAGGAUGGGAUGAACCAAAUGCUAGAGAGGUGGGAAGAAUGAAGUCUCAACCUAAUGCUAAGGGUGAGAUGUAUGUUUUGAAUGAAGACAUUGACAUGAAAGCAAAGGUUGCAGCUAUGGCAAGGAGAUUGGAAGAGCUAGAAAUGAAGAACAUACAAAAAGUGCAAGCCAUUUCUGAGACAUCAAUGAAAGCUAUGCCUUGUUCCAUUUGUCAAUCUUAUAAGCACCUAGUGGAGGAGUGUCCUACAAUUCCAGCAGUGAGAGAGAUGUUUGGUGAUCAAGCAAAUGUUAUUGAUCAAUUCAAGCCUAAUAACAAUGCUUCAUAUGGCAACACCUACAAUUCAAAUUGGAGGAACCAUUCAAAUUUCUCUUGGAAACGAAAGCCACCUCAAUACACACAACCUACUCAAGCACCUUAGCAAUCCUCGAAUCUUGAACAAGCUAUUGUGAACCUUAGCAAGGUUGUGGGAGACUUUGUGGGAGAUCAGAAGUCCAUCAAUGCUCAACUGAAUCGGAGAAUUGACAGUGUGGAGAGUACAUUGAACAAAAGGAUGGAUGAGAUGUAAAAUGAUCUGUCUCAAAAGAUAGACAAUGUCCAAUACGUAAUCUCAAGGCUUACCAACCUCAACACAGUGUAAGAGAAAGGAAAGUUUCCUUCUCAACCUCAUCAAAAUCCUAAGGGUAUCCAUGAAGUAGAGGCUCAAGAGGGAGAAUCUUCAAAGGUGAGGGAAGUCAAAGUAGUUAUCACCUUGAAGAGUGGUAAAGAGGUUGAUCAACCCACAUCCAAGCCAAAGCAUAAUGAAGAGAGUGUAGCAGAAAAAGAAAAGAGAGGAAAAUAAAGGAAUUAGAAUAGAGAAAAAUACAAAGAAAGAUGACCAUGAGUCUAGUGUGGAUGAAGAGCCCGAGAGGAUGGUGAUCAAGGAAGAUAUGAUGAAGAAACACAUGCCUCCACCUUUCCCCUAAGCUUUGCAUGACAAAAAAAGAACCAAUAAUACAUCAGAAAAUUUUGAAGUAUUGAGGCAAGUGAAGGUCAAUAUCCCUUUGCUAGACAUGAUCAAACAAGUGUCGACAUAUGAAAAAUUCUUGAAGGACUUGUGCACUGUAAAGAGAGGGUUGAAUGUGAACAAGAAAGCUUUAUUGACCGAGCAAGUGAGUUCCAUCAUACAGUGCAAGUCCUAGUGAAGUACAAAGAUCCGGGUUGCCGUACCAUCUCAGUGAGUAUUGGAAGGACUUGUGUGGAGAAAGCUUUGUUGGACUUGGGAGCAAGUGUGAAUUUGCUAUCCUACUCUGUCUAUAAGCAGUUGGGAUUUGGAGAGUUGAAGCCAAUAUCCAUCACUCUAUCUCUAGCGGAUAGAUCAAUGAAGAUUCCAAGAGGGAUGAUCGAAGAUGUCCUGGUUCAAGUUAACAAAUUCUACUAUCCAGUAGAUUUUGUUGUUCUUGAUAUGGAUCCGGUUGUCAAAUGAACUAAUUAUGUUCCUAUCAUACUUGGAAGACCCUUCCUAGCUACAUCAAAUGCAAUCAUCAAUUGUAGGAAUGGAGUCAUGCAACUCACAUUUGUCAACAUGACAUUAGAGCUCAACAUCUUCCAUUUGUACAAGAAGCAUAUCCAUCAGGAGGAAAAAGAAGGUCUAGAGGAAGUGUGAAUGAUUGACACUUUAGUGGAAGAGCAUUGUGAUCGAGAAUGCAAAAAGAUUUAGUUGAGAAUUUUGGGGAUCUUGAUGAAAGGUUACUUGAACCCUCAGAUUUGCUUGCUACCCUACUCCAUUGGAAGAGAAGAGAAGAAAUUCUACCCUUAUUCAAUGAGGAGGAGACGCAAAGAGCUGCAAAGGAGAAACCCCCAAAACUUAUUCUUAAGCCACUACCCACAGAGUUGAAGUAUGUAUACUUGGAAGAAGACAAGAAGUGCCCUAUUGUUAUAUCUUCAACUCUUACCAUUCAUCAGGAGGAUUGUCUACUUGAAGUCCUUAGAAGAUGUAAGAAGACAAUAAGGUGGCUAAUUUCUUAUUUGAAAGGGAUCAGCCCUUUAGUCUGCACCCAUCAUAUUUACAUGGAGGAUGAAGCUAAGCUAAUUCAUCAACCUCAGAGAAGGUUGAACCCUCACAUGCAAGAGGUGGUUCGAGCUGAAGUUCUGAAGCUACUUCAGACCAGUAUUAUUUACCCCAUAUCAAAUAGCCCAUGGGUGAGUCCUACUCAAGUUGCGCCAAAGAAGUCUGGGAUCAUGGUGGUGCAAAAUGAUAAGGGAGAAGAUGUCUCUACACGCCUCACUACAGGUUGGAGGGUGUGUAUCAAUUACAGGAGGUUGAAUGCAGUGAUAAGAAAGGACCAUUUCUCAUUGCCCUUUAUUGAUCAGGUGCUUGAGAGGGUCUCUGGGCUUUUUUUUUUAUUGUUUCUUGGAUGGCUACUCCGGGUACUUUCAGAUAGAAAUUGAUGUUGAAAACCAAGAUAAGACCAUUUUCACAUGCCCAUUUGGAACCUAUGCAUAAAGGAGAAUGCCUUUCGGCUUAUGCAAUGCACCCGCAACUUUCCAAAGAUGCAUGUUAAGCAUUUUCAGUGAUAUGGUGGAGCGUAUUAUGGAAGUCUUUAUGGAUGAUAUCACCAUUUAUGGAAGUGCAUUUGAUGAAUGCUUGGUCAACUUAGAAGCUGUUCUGAACCGAUACAUUGAGAAAGACUUAGUGCUUAACUGGGAGAAGUGCCAUUUCAUGGUACACCAAGGGAUUGUCCUUGGGCACAUUAUCUCCAAGCAAGGCAUUGAAGUUGACAAAGCAAAGGUUGAACUCAUUGUUAAGUUGCCAUCCUCAACAAAUGUCAAAGGAGUAAGGCAAUUCUUUGGCCAUGUCGGGUUCUAUAGGAGGUUUAUCAAGGAUUUCUCUAAGCUUGCAAGGCCUCUUUGUGAAAUAUUGGUGAAUGAUGUUAAAUUCAUAUGGGAUGAUGGAUUUGAAAGGAGUUUUGAAGAAUUGAAGCUAUUUUUGACAACCGUACCAAUAGUGAGGGCUCCCAACUGGCAACUGCCCUUUGAAGUAAUGUGUGAUGUCAAUGAUUUUGCUAUAGGAUUUUUUCUUGGGCAAAGAGAAAAUGGAAAACCUUAUGUGAUCUACUAUGCGAGGAAGGCAUUGAAUGAGGCACAAAGAAACUACACAACCACCGAGAAAGAAUUGUUAGCUGUAGUUUUUGCCUUGGAUAAGUUUCGCGCUUACUUGGUGGGGUCCUUCAUCAUGGUUUUUACUGAUCACUUUGCUUUGAAGUAUCUGUUGACUAAGCAAGAUGCUAAAGCAAGGCUGAUUAGAUGGAUUCUCUUACUUCAAGAGUUCAAUCUCCAUAUCAAAGAUAAGAAAGGAGUGGAGAAUGUGGUAGCAGACCACAUUUCAAGGCUAGCUAUCGCACAUAAUUCCCAUGCUUUGCCCAUUAAUGACGAUUUUCUAGAGGGGUCUCUCAUGUUGGUGGAAGUUGUCCCUUGGUACGCUCACAUUGCUAACUACCUGGUCACGGGAAAAGUUCCAAGUGAGUGGAAAGCACAAGAUAAGAAGCACUUCUUUGCAAAAAUUCAUGCCUACUAUUGGGAAGAGCCAUUUCUAUUCAAGUAUUGUAUGGAUCAGAUAAUAAGGAAGUGCGUUCCUGAAGAAGAGCAACAGGGGAUCCUUAGUCAUUACCAUGAAAAUGCAUGUGGAGGCCACUUUGCUUAUCAAAAGACAGCCAUGAGGGUGUUGCAAUCGGGUUUCUGUUGGCCAUCACUUUUCAAAGAUGCCCACACCAUGUGCAAGAGUUGUGAUCGAUGCCAGAGGCUUGGGAAGUUGACACGCAGGAACAUGAUGCCUUUGAACCCCACUUUAAUAGUUGAUAUUUUUUAUGUUUGGGGCACUAACUUCAUGGGACCUUUCCCUAUGUCUUUUGGCUACUCUUACAUCUUGGUAGGAGUAGAUUAUGUUUCUAAGUGGGUUGAGGCAGUCCCAUGCAAACACAAUGACCAUAGAGUGGUUCUCAAGUUUCUUAAAGAGAAUAUCUUCUCAAGAUUUGGGGUGCCCAAAGCCAUAAUUAGUGAUGGGGGUACUCAUUUUUGCAACAAGCCUUUUGAAACUCUCCUAGCCAAGUAUGGGGUGAAGCAUAAGGUAGCUACACCUUACCACCCUCAAACUCAUGGACAAGUUGAGUUAGCAAACAGGGAGAUUAAAAACAUAUUGAUGAAGGUGGUGAACACAAACAGAAAAGAUUGGUCAGUCAAGCUUCUUAAUUCACUAUGGGCAUAUAGAACAACUUACAAGACCAUUCUCGGGAUGUCUCCUUAUCGCCUAGUUUAUGGCAAAGCAUGCCAUCUCCCUGUGGAAUUGGAAUACAAAGCUUGGUGGGCAAUCAAGAAGCUCAACAUGGAUUUGAGCAGAGCUGGGUUGAAGAGGUUCUUAGACCUUAAUGAGAUGGAGAAAUUGAGAAAUGAUGCCUACAUCAAUUCAAAAAUUGCAAAAGAAAAAUUGAAGAGGUGGCAUGAUCAGUUGAUUUCCCGCAAGGAUUUUCAAAAUGGACAAAGAGUCUUACUUUAUGACUCUAAACUCCACAUCUUUCCGGGCAAGCUGAAAUCAAGGUGGAUAGGUCAUUUUACCAUUCACCAAGUGCAUUCAAAUGGAGUAGUGGAACUACUCAACUCCAACAAUAUCGAGAACUUCAAAGUGAAUGGCCACCGUCUCAAGCCCUUUGUGGAGUCUUUUUCUCACAACAAGGAGAAAUUCAUCCUCCUUGAUCCACAUCAAGCUUAACAAGACCAAUUUUCUUGAUGGACUUAGUCUUUCUAAAGACUAUCGAGUCCAUAACUUUUUGUUUUAUUUUUUAUUUGAGAUUUUUUCGGUAUUGUUACUUGUUUUGUUUUUUAUUUUUCGUUUUAAUUUUAUUUGGUUUGAUUUAACUUAGGUUUUUGAUGAUCAAUUACAGGGGGGAUUUCAAAUAGAGGAAAAACCAAGAUAAUUCGCACACCCUACGAAAAUUUCGCAAGGCAUGCGAAAUUUAUGGCUUAUUUUGCAUGGGGUGAAAAUUUUCGUACAUCUUACGAACCAAUUUCGAACACUUUGCGAAAAUAAACCAACCCUGCGAAAUCAUUUCGAUUACUCUACGAAAUUUUCGUAGAGCAUGCGAAAAAUUUAGCACACCAAACACCAUUUCGCAUACUAUGCAAAAACCUAAGGGGUCUGCGAAACCAUUUCGCACCUCCAAAUCCAUUUCGCACAUUGUGCGAAAACCAAGAGGCGCUGUGCGAAAAUGAAAAGUCGCCCUGUCAUCCCUUUUUAAACCCCUCGAGCCCUAAAAUCUCCAUUUCGCAAGCACCCCUGUCCUUGCGAAUCCCUCAUUUUCCUCUACUACCUUGCAACCUCGUCCCUUUCCAUUUGAUAUUGUGCCCCGCGCACAUCUCAUUUCAGAGACUCGCACUCCGCGCCCCCUCAAAGCAUGGACUCGAGACCCACCUUCCAUUUCCGACGUGGCACGGACCCAAGGAGCCCUUUCUGCCCCUUCACUAAGACACACACCAAGGCAGAAAGCCUCCUUUGCUCAAGUGCCUAGUGAUUCUCCAUCUUAGGCCUCAGAGGCCUCGGAGGCCCCGUGGAUUCCACCUUCCGAGGGUAGAGCAGCCAUUGGUCCUUCCUCUUCUACUCCUUAGCGUAGAUACGAGACGAGGAGACCACCUACUACACAAGGGGCGACUACUUCGAGCCUUGAGAAUUCAGUACGAUGCCUUCCUGCCAAGAGGGUCAAGACUUCAGGUCCAAGUGAGUCAUCCAGAGCUUCAUAGCCUAAGCCUCCUGUAGAUUCCAAGGUUCCUACUGACAUAUCACCGGAGUCUAUUAUCAGAAGCCCGAUGCUCAUAGCACCGCCCAUUGAGGGCAACUCAGAUUAUAGAGCGAGAUCUUUCCACUUGGAGCUAUAUUUUGAUCAGGAGGCCAUACGACAGCAGCCUGAGCUCCGAGACUCUUAUGGCUUACUGCAGAGGUACCAUCUUGAGGAACUUAUGACUCCUCGUGAGUUUUUUUAUCCCAGAGUAGCACUAAACUUUUACCAGUCCAUGACUACUCGUGGCGUCCCGAGUCCUACCACGAUUCACUUCACCAUUGAUAGACGUCAUGGUAUCCUCAAGGCCAGACAUAUUACAGAGGCUCUACAAAUUCCUUUCGAGCUAGAGGAUCCAUCUGUUUUUCGCUAAUGGUCCCCAGUAUCUCAGAGGGACAUGGUCCGUAUUUUAUCUAGGGGAACAUCUACAGAUUCGAUCUUUCUACGGAAGGAGCUUCGACCUGGGAUGCUCCUCUUAGAUGUGGUGCUAUGCUCCAACCUCUUUCCCUUACAACAUUCGGUACAUAGGUGAUGAGCUAUUUUGGACGCUUUAUUCCGUAUAUCAGAGGGCUUCUACUUUGGCCCGCACCACUUGAUCAUGGUCUCCCUCAUCCACUUUGAGGAGAAGGUUCAUAGGAAGAAGCUUCAGAGGGUGGACACCAUUCCAUUACUAUUCCUGAGGUUACUUUGCCAGGUCUUGGAGUACAUGGGCUUUCCUACUGAGCCUCGGCUCGAGCUUUGCCGCCUUUGUCGAGAGUGAUCCACUCUCGACAAAUGGAAUUAGUUGGCGGGCUAUUCUGCACCUCCAGGAGCCCCUCCCAUGGUAGCACCUCCAAUGUCCCCACAGGCAAAGUAGGGCGAGCUCCCGGCAAAGACUGUACCACCAAUGCCCACACUUGAGGCUAUUUCUGCUGCUCUGCCUAUGACUCCUACUGUUCCACCAGUUGGUCCUUUUACAUCCGAGCCUUCCAUCACCAUCUCGGCUUCGGAGUUUCGCGCCCUUGUGCAUACCUUUCAGACACUCACCACCACACAUACUCCUCUCUUCUAGCAAAUGGUUGAGAUGUGUGCCCAUCAGGACCGGAAGACUACUAUACUCUGCCAAAUUCAGCAGCACCUAAGACUUUUGCCUCAACCUCAACCUAACCAUCCCAUAUCAUCAGAGCCUCUAGCUCCAACUGAGGAUACUAUUCCACCUGAGAACACUACCACAGUAGAGGUCCGGUUUCCACCACCUUAAGAGGCCACCACAGCUACAUCAGAGGAUGUGUCAUCUCCACUUGAGGCUCCCACUACUUGAUCAUAGGACAUAUCUUUAUCUUAUUGUAUUUACAUAUUAUAUUACUAGAGAUUUGUCCUUGUUUUGAUACUUUAUAUUCUGGGAUUGGAUGUAUUGCCUGAUGAUAUCUCAAUUGUACUUUCUCAUAUUAAUAUAUAGACAUCAAUUUUUUUUAGUAUACUUAGCAUUUUUCUAUUUCCUCUACUCAUUACUCUUUUGUUUUUUUUUACUCAUGUGGUUUCUCUUAUACAACUCAGACUCCAUUUCACUCAGGAGGUACCACUUCCUCCCUUUAUUUUCAAUUGCUCUUGAAAUAUUGAGUGCAAUGUUGAUCUUGGUUGGGGGGAGAGUUGAGGAAGGAAGUUUUGUUAAUAAUGCUAGGUUAAUUUGUUAAUUUAGUUACUUUCUGCUUAAUUUUAAAAGUUUUCACUCUACUUUCCAUGGUUAUUAAGGAAAAAUUCUCAAAAUGAAAUGGGAGAAAUCGAAUUCUUGCAUUUUUACUUGAAUCUUAGAAUUUGUAUCAUGCUUAUUAAAGUUGAUGAAUUAUUGAAACUCCUAUUGAAUUCAACCUUAUUUUUUCCACUUUAAUCUUACCACACACGGUGCACAUUAGGUUCCAGUUAUAAGAUAAAAAACUAUCUCACCCCCUAAACUUAGAAAAAUUUACACUUGGUACCUUUGACAUCGUUUUAAUAGUGUUGGGACACCUUAUAAAAGGCCAAUGAGCCUUUAAAAAAAAAAAAAAAAAAAAAAAGAGAAAGAACAAAGUAUUGCACUUGCCUUGAAACCUGAGCAAGAUCCGAGGGGUAUACAGUGAAAGUCUUUAAAACCUGGUGCCCUAAGCCUUGAUUGGUUGGGAGUCACCGACCUCAAUGCUCGUUAUAAGGGUGAAUAGGUGGAGUUUAACAUAUUGUAGGUGCUUGGGUAUUGAAUUUCAAUCUCAAAAGUCCGGGAAAAAAUCUAAGGAGUUAGUGGUCAAAAGAUCCUUAAAGCUUGAUGCCCUAAACCUUGAUUGGUUGAGAGUCAUUGAUGGAUCCCCGCUACAUGGACAUUUUAGAAAACAAUACCUUUAGCAUUGCACGCCUACAAUGAAAAAAAAAUGUGAAAUAAAAGAGGUGCGUUCUUAGCCUAUUGGAGGUUGGUCAGUUUGCUAAAGUUUGAGAAAUCUAGGUUGGGGGGAGAGAAUAGUCCGACAUACUAUAAUAAAAAACUAAUAACCUUAACACUUAGAUUUUUGUGGAAGAGUAAGGAUUGGACCUUUAGGGGUGGAAAUUCUUUUGAUGCUUAAAUUUGCAUAAUGCCUACUCUUUAUAAAUUAUGAUUAGGCAAGAGAUUUGAUGACUCUUGUUCAAAGUUGGGUUUUUCCUCUUUGAUGUUCCAUGAGAGAGUAUAAUCCUCAUCAUGCCACUUGAAAUCUUUUUGGAGUGAUUAACAUGAUUUUGUAAAUUAUUUUACUGUCUAUUUUUCUUUAUCUCUCUUUUAUUGCUAAUGGACUAGCAAUAUGUCAGUUGGGGGGAGUGAUUACUACUCAAAAAGUACUCUUUUAUAGCUUGAAACUAACUGUUUUAAACACUUUUGAGUAGGUGUUAAUACAUUUUAACUCAAUUGGCACAUUAAGGAACCUAACAAGGGUUACUAAUAAGUUUUUGGCAAGUUUUGGUGUUUUUGGUAGCUAUUUGAUCAUUGAAACAAGCCAAGAAUGAGGGAGAAUUUUGUGAAGUCCAUAGCAAUGCAAGUUAAAGCUCAAAUACAUGAAGAAUCCAAGCUUUGAAGCACUUCAUAGCCCUUUGCGAAGCCAAUCAGAGAUGCAAGGAAGAAAACCAGAGGAAAAAAUCCAACAACCAGCAUUUUCGCAUGGCUGUGCGAAAUUUUGCACACCAUGCGAAACCACAAGAAGUAGCCAAAGAAUUUUGCACACCAUGCGAAAUUUCGCAUGGUAUACGAAAUCUUCCUAUGCACCAACUCCGUUAUAUUUUUAUCUUCAGAUAUUUUGUGUAAUUUCCUAGUUUCUCCUUGUAACCAACCUAGAUAUUUUCUUUUAUAUCUUUUUUUUAUAUUUUUUAGGUAACAUCAUAUAUAGGGGGAGAGACAUAAGGAGGAUAUGGAUGUUUUUCAUAAAACACUUUUAAUUUUCUGGUAGUAAGAAAUAUACAAAGUUUUUUGCUCUGCCUUACCUUCUCAUUUUGUUUUCACCUAUCUUUCUAGCCAAACAACCUCUGAGAAUGAUUUCUCAGGGGAUGAGUAGUUAGGUUUUACGUUUCUUGGAGUGAGAGAAGCUAGGUGAAAGACCCAAAUGCUAAGGUGGGAGUUGUCCUUGCUUUAAAUGAAAGUAGUUGUUAAAUAUUAAUGGUUUUUAUUUUAAGGUUUAGCUUUAAAUCCCUUAAAAACACCUUGAAUGGCCAAUACUUGGUAAGCUUUUCGGAUUCUAUGGAUGCUUAUUGCUAGAUCCAUGGAUGUCAUUAGUUAUCAUUUAUGAGCCAUUGGAAGGUGGUUCAAGAUGAGAGUCUUUAGUGUUUGAAGCCAUUAAUGGGAAACAAUUACCAUUUUUUCAUGAAUCCUUUGGAUAAAAUCUUAAUUGCUAAAUAUAAAACUGGUUCGGGAGAUAACCAUCCUUUAUGUUAUUAUGCCCAAUGCAAGGAGAAGAUUUCGAAUCUUCUCAUUUGUCUAAGGAACCCGAUCCUAGUGACCUAAAGCUCCUAGAGACCUUUUCUUUGUAGUUAACUUCAUUUAUUGUUUUUGCUUAACUUAAAAUCAAUCUUUGCAACCACAAUUCCAUUUUCUUUAAAAGCUAAUUUUUAUAAGGAAAAGCACCAUUUUAUUUCCUUCACUAAGUCAACUGUAUGAUGAAAACCCAUCCCUGUGGACGAUCUUAGAGCCACUAUACUAUGUUAUCUAUGCUAUCCUAGUGUGAGGUGAUUUAGGUUUUAUAAAUUUUGUUGAUAACACCCGUCUGAGCCAGAAUCAAAUGGAACCACUGAACCAGGGACAAAUCAACAGCCUAUAUGGGAGGGACACAAGUUUAAUUGAUUUGCAUUUCAGCGUUAUAGAUAAGUAUGUUUUGGAAGAUUUGUUCUGGAAAUACUGCACCAAGUACGAUUCUUUUUCUCUUGAGUGAGUCCAUUUGCAUGCCAAUUAACGAGUUGAAAAGUAGGAGCACCUACCUCGUGCUCAUGGAACCGAAUGUCAGUGAAGUGGGGCUCCUUUUAGCCUCUUGUGUUUCUGUUCCAACCAAGGCGGCGUAGGGAAAAACAACAAUAUGUCUGUGCUAAAUAUCAACGCAUGAUAGAUGUUUUUUUUUUUUUUUUUGGUAUGUCAAGGCUAACGAAUGAAAUGCAUUAGCUUGUUUUGUGACUAUAACUGCAAAUGUCCAAAUUGGAGUAUCUCCAUUUCUCACUUCGGAUGGUUAACUUUAUAAACAAGAUAUAGGAAACAUGUGAACAUCUUGAGGAACAAUUCAAAUUAUUCAUUAGAAGUCCUGGGUUAAGUUCCAAGAUUUAAAUCAGACCCUUCUAGCAGCUUCAAGGGUACUUAGCAACCUAUAACAUAUUAAUGAAGAUUUAGGAUUUAGACUCCGGAAUACAAAUAAAUAUGUAUCUCAUGCUUUGACUAGCUUCCCUACAUAUGCAUAAAAUGGAGAUGACCCAAAAAAAAUAGCAGAAUCUAGCUUCCCUACAUAUGCACAAAAUGGAGAUGACCCAAAAAAUAGCAUAAUCGCCUUAGUUUCUGUGGUUAAGGUGAUUCUCCGCUUAAUAUCCACAUUGACUCAUUAUGCAAAAUCAACUGAGCUAAUUUUAUUUAUUUAUUUAAUGUCAAAUAGGAACUCCUAAUUAACUGAUUACUGUCGAAAAGUGCUAUUUUGUAGACCUAAUUAUAAGGGUUUUAAGCACCUUUGAGUAGUAAUCAUAUUCAUUUAACCUAAUUAAUUCAUUAAGCUCCUUAGUAAUUAGUUCUAACCAUUUUUAGUGGCAAGUUUACAUGUUUUUCAUCAGCUUAUGAACCAAUUCAAGCAUGCCAAUUGAUGGAGGAGCUACUUGGGCGAGUUAAGCAAGGAUUUUGGACGUUUACAGGCUUGAAUUUCAAGUGGAAACACGAGCACAAGCAAUGGGAACACCAUUUCGCAAGGGGAGGCAAUUCACCUUGCCAAAUGACCAAUUUCGCAAGGGGAUUUUCCUCAUGGUGCAAAAUUUGGUCAUUUCGCACCAUGAAGAAACCACCUUGCAAAAUUUCGCAAGGUGGAUUUAGGCACCUUGCGAAAUGCCAAAUUUCACAAGGUGGCUUUUCACCUUGCGAAAUUUGGACCUUUCAUCUUCCCCCCUUGCGAAAUGCCUUUGAAAUCCCCUGUUUUGAGACGCUGUUGAUGAUAUUCCACUGCCGGUUCUCCAAGAUAUUUUGCUUGACUUUUAGCUUUAUAAAUACCUAUUUUACCCUUGUAAUCAACCAAUGAAAAGGUUGCUUUUGUAAUAGCUCUUGUAAUUUAGCUUUUUAUUGUCUUUAAAUAGAGGUGAAGAGCCUCAGACACGAUCAUCUUGUAACCUGUAACUUUAUAAGUUAUAAGAGCACUUUUGUUCAUACGCUUCUUUUCUCUUUUCUUUCUCAUUUUCUUAGUAGCCAAACAUCCUUGGAGGAUGAAAUCCCCAAGGAUGAGAGGCUAAAACCUUUUAGUUUCUUGAAGUAAUGGAUGCCAUGUGAAGCUCCCGUGUCAGGAUGGAGAUUUCCAAGCCAUAAAUGUAAGUAGCUGAGCGUCAUAAAUGUUUUCAUUCAAAGUAAAGCUUUUAAUCCCUCUGACUUGCUUUGAAUGGCCAAUACUUGAUAACCUUUUGGUCUCAAUGGAUUCUUAUUGUUAGAUCCACUGACGUUCAUUAGUUAUCUCCUACGAGCCAUUGUAUUGCAAGUCGAGGAGAUGACCUAUACCAAUAAAAGAGCAUUUAUGAGGUUCAACUACCCUUUUUGUAAGUUUUCAAGGACUAAAACUCAGUUGUUAAACUCAUACCGGUUCGAGAAGUAAGCAUCACCUUAGUUGCUUCCCCAACUCGAGGUGAAAAGUCCCAAAAUCUCCAUUUUUACACAGUGAGUUAAGCAUGGCUAUCCAAAGCUUUAAGAAACUUCUUUUUCCAUCUUUUAACCUAUUUUCAUGUUAGUUUAGUUUACAACACCUUCAUCUUUUUAUGUUUUCAUCUUAACCUAAUUUUUAUUAAGAAAAGUUCACUCCAUCCUCCGAACUUCACCAGUUAAAGUAAAAACCCUUCCCAGUGUUCGAUCCUAGAGCCACUAUGCUAUAGUAGCUUUGCUACUUUAGUGUAAGGACCUUAGGUAUAAAUUUUGUUGAUACCCUUACAUGCCAAGCUACCAAGAGUCGGGUUAUCAUUAACCUAACCAUUGGCCUGUGUAAAUUGAUUUCACAUGCACAAUGUUGUAGUAGAAGUCCAUAUUUUGAAUUUUAUUUUUGUAAAGGUAAGGAAAAUGAAGCAUUGUGUAAUUAUAAAAAUAACUUCAUUGGAAUUCACAAGGUUCACCCAAAAUGGAGCUACAUCUGUAUUCUAUCCUACAGUAGACUAUAUAGAUUGUACAAUAGUAAAUUGCAAAUACAAUUAAUAAGUCUUGUGCUUCCUUACUAAUAAUCCUUUGACAUGAACAUUGCAGCACUAAGGUCCUCUUGGGAAGACACCUUGCACCCAUGAGAGCACUAAGAGGAAGCAAGGCAGAGUCAUGGGUGCAAUGUCAUGACUUGUUGUUGCACCAAGAGAGGCUUGGUGAUGCCAUGGUGUUGCAGUAGCAAGAAUGUUGCCUUGGCAGGGACACGAUCUAGGGAUAGAUGCCAAGAAAGGCUUAGCACUCACAUGAGUUGCACAAAGAUGAAUGUAAUAGAGCAUCAGAGAGACGUCUUGGCAAGUAAAUGAAUGGAUCCAAGAGACAACAACAUGAGGAGUUUCAAAUGGAUAAGGAAUGACUCAAAGACAUUUGAAAGCUACAAGUUGGAUUCUAAUUACGAUUGCAAUUUGAGUUUGAGUAGGAGUUUAGAUUUUGAUUGUAAUUGUAGUAUGAGUUGGACUAGGAUUGCUUAUCCUUAGUCAAUAUAGGAGCGGUUCGUGUCACCCUAUGAAAAGAGUUUGAGUAGGGACUAGGAUUGCUUACUCCUAGUCAAAUAUGGAGUAGGUGGUGCCACACCUAUAAAAAAAAGGGACAACAUGAGAGAGAGAGAGAGAGAGAAAGAGAGAGUGAAUUCACUAAAGAUAUUGUGGGAGUUUUGCUUUGUUACGUCUUGUAUUAUUACUUAGAAUAGGAAUAAAAUACAAGUUGGGGCUAGAGCCCCAUAAUUAAUCUCGUGUGCCUUUGUGGUUAUUCUUUAUUUGUCAUCUCGUGUGGAUUGGAUUAGGUUGACUUAGAGGGCUUCUAAGCACCACCUUUGUGGGUUAUUAUUUAUUUUCCAUCUCUUGUGGAUUAGAUUAGGUUGACUUAGAGGGCUUCUGAGCACCACCUUUGUGGGUUAUUAUUUAUUUUCCAUCUAUUGUGGAUUAGAUUAGGUUGACUUAGAGGGCUUUUAAGCACCACAUUUGUGGGUUAUUCUUUAUUUUCCAUAUCGUGUGGGUUGGAUUAGGUUGACAAGGAGAAAAAUUAUGUGGGAAAUUUGUGUUGGGACACUUACCAUAACCAAGUAAAAUCUACCAAGUCCUUUGUAAUAUCUUCAACAAAUAUUUUAGACUAGUUCUUUCAGUUAGUGUAAAGGAGGAAGAAGUGGUAUUGAUUCUAGAAAUAGGGUGUGUGUAUUUGAACUACAAUCCUUAUGAUCCUUAGGUCUCUAAACCUUCGUGAUGGGCUCCCUGACAUUUCAUAGGUUGUGCUACACAUGCGUUUGAAAUUUAGAGUGCGUUUGACAGUGAUUCCGGGAAGUGUUUUUGGCCUUUCUUACACUUGAAAAUUUUUAUUUUUCAAGUAUUAGAAAUGCUACAAACACUUUUGAAAAUUACUGUCAAACACACUCUUAGGAGCGCACAUAUAUAGUAGAAAACUAGAAAUUGUGGUUUUUUUAGGAUUUACUGUAAUGUCAUUAGGAGGGUAGUAAGUUGAAAUUGAGUAUGAACAAAUAUUUCUUUCUUUGGGAUGUUCUUCUAGUAGGUGCUGAUGAAACUGUUCUUUCUACUGCCAAUGUCACAUAUCAGCCAGAAAUUGAAAAUUUCAGUCAAGGUGUCCUCUGUUUUAGUGGUGAGGAAAGCUAGAAAUUUUAAGGUGAAGUUUUGUUAAAAACCUUAAGUAGCUGGGAUAUCAGGCCUGUUUUGCUUGAAAAAAAAAGUUGCAAGAUAACUCAUAUGCCAAACAGGUUCUGAUAUUGUGAAUCUAUCGGCAGACAUCAGUAAUCUCAUCUUCUGAGAUGGAUGUUGGGGGUGCAUGUGGUGGUGGAGGGGCAAGGUUUCAUUUGGUUUAUUUUGUUGAUGGAUAUUGUCUAGCCACCUGCGCCAAGUUUGAGGGGUGGUGGGUUGUGAUGACCCUACAAUUACUAUUAAUUUCUUCAUCUUUUACCGAUUAAAGUGUCCGAACAGUCGAAGUUACCCUUAUGCAUGUCAACUUGAUCACUUACCUCUUCAAUGGAGUUUAUGCUGGUUCAUUUAGGAACUGAUUUUUAUUGUUAUGUAUUAUAUGCUGAUGUUUAGGUCUCUCCAUCAUCACUAUAUACAAAAAUUCUAGGUUGAUACUAUAGGUUGAGAUUUAUUUUUUAAAUAAAAAAUAAUAAAAAUAAAAAUUAUGGUGAUGUUUAGUUGUUUUAUGGAAAAUUUUAACAAGUAAAAGUUAUUUUUGGGCAAGUUUUCAAACAAAAAGAAAAGUAAAAGUUGUUUUGACAAAAACAUAUAGAAAAAAAAAUCAUAGAAAAUAAAUAAUUUCCCCAUAUUCUAACUUUUUUGAAUUUUUCUCAAUGGGCAAAGGAAUAUCAAAUCAAGUUUGAGUAGGAUUUCUUAAUUUUUAAAAUAACUUACAAUUAAAAAAUUUUGGUGUUUUCAUUUUUGGACAAUUUUUUAUUAAGCAAAUGGACUCUGAGUCAUGCAAGAGAUAUGGUUCAUUAACCGGUCGAACAAUUUUUUUAAAUUAAUUUAAAAGUCAAAUACAUAAUCAAUUUCACAAAAUUUAUAAACAAAAAUAGGUUUAGAGAAGAUCUACACAUAAUUUUACUUUUCUAAUUUUAUUUUAUUUUAUUUUUUGUUGGAAAAUAGUCUUCAAAUCAUGUAAGAUUUAAUAGGUUAAAUUUGUUAACAAUAAAUUUUAAAUUAUAAAAUAUAAUCUGGAACUCAAAAAUCAAUUCAAGUAAUGCUAAAAAAAAAUCAAAUUUGGUAUAGAAUGACUUUGUAAAUUUUUUUACAAAACAAAUGAAUUUUAAAUCAAGUGAGAUUUAAUGCAUUAGAUUUUUAUCAAAUAUAGUAAUUUUAAAAAUAAAUUUGGAACUCAACAAUAGACACAAUAAAUACCAAAAAAUAAUGAACCAAAAUUGGUUUGGAAUAACUCCACAACCUUUUUUUUUUUUUUUUGGUGCACACGAAUUUUCUUACUAGGUAUAUUGCUUUCAAAUUGAGAAAGAUUUACCAUUUAGAUUUUUUUUUAAUGAGUUUAAUGGUAUUUUAAAAUAAUUCAAAAUUUAAAAAAUUGACUAAUUAAUAUUAUAAAUUGAUAAACCAAGACUAUUUCAAAAUGCAUUGGGGGCUAAGGGGGUUGAAAAUAGGGACAAUGGGAUGGGUUUGGGACAUGACACUCAUAUCUCAUUUCCAUUCCAAUUACACAGUUAUCUCCCAUCCUUAUCCCAAACUUGUGUUGGAGCAAGUUGAUUUGUUCCCAUCUUUGUUGACGAAAUGACUAAUAACCUCAUCCCCUCCUUAUCUUAGAUGUACAUUUUGUCAAAUUUGAUCAGGUAUGAUUGAUCCAAGCCCUAACCCUAAUUGGUAAUGAGUGAAUACUACACCUAAUUGCAUUCUUCUUUCAUUGCAAAAUAAUGAGAUUAUAAUAAUCUAGCAAAUAAGAAAAAAUAGUAUGGAAGUUCAAAUUAACACCAUAACUAUCAAUAAUUUUAAGCUUAUAGAUGACUUAAAUGAUUAAAAACUAAUGCAAAAUCCUAAAAAAAAUAAAAAUCAUAUAAAGAAUUCACAAGAGAACAGAAUGAACAAAAACCAAAUAUGAACAUGGGUCAACAUUAGUUAUGGAUUUGGAUUCCUUUCAAGGCCAAUCUUUGAACCAAGACUUCAUCAAAUCAACUACUUCAAAGGCUUUUGUGUUCUUCUUGGGUUGUGCUCUCAAACAAAGACUUCGAGGUGAUGUUCUAGAUGAUUGAAUUACACAUAUUUAGGGUGGAGAGAUUGGAGAAGCUUGAAGAUGCCAACGAUGGGUACAAUUGAGUGGUCAAUAAGAACAAUGUAGCCUAUGACUAGUUUGAUGUCAUGGUACAAGAGUUUUAGGCAUUGAGGUUAAAGCAAGAGCAACAUGGAAUUGAUUUCGGAGUCUUUCAGUUAGUGUAAAGGAGGAAGAAGUGGUGUUGAUUCUAGAAAUAGGGUUUUAAGUGGUGCGUGAUUACUACUCAAAAAGUGCUAUUUGAUAGCCUUUAAUUAAUCCUUUUUAACACUUUUGAGUAGUAGUUUAGGCCUUUUAACUCAAUUGGCAUGUUAAGGAUCCUUUAAAGCAAUUUUGAUCACUUUGUGCAAGUUUUGGUGUUUUUGUUAGUAUUUUGAUCACCAAAGCAAGUCAAGAAUGAGGAGAACUAUGAGGAAUCAUGGGCAAAGCUUAGAAUUCAAUUGCCAAGAGUGAAUCCGGAUUGCAAGGAGAAAAAGCAAAGAGAAUCUGUCAUGAAGCCUAUUCUUGAUGACAGUCGUAGCAGCCACUUUUGGAGCACUUUCUGAAGUCCAAAUGAUGCAAGCUAUAUACCAUUUCAAAGAUCAGGAAGUCAACAAUCCAAUGCUUCAAACGGUGCGCGAUUCGGAGUUGAAACGAAGAAGUUGCAGCCAUUACAAGCCAGUCACUCUAAAGUGUUGCGGAAUCAGCCUUUUGUUGCGAGAAUUUCGCAGCACUUUUGUACAGUAAGGUGUUUCUCCUUCUGACGAUGCACGAACCAUGCCGCGAGAGGGAAGCUAGGAACUUCAAGAUGGAAGCCAACUUUGCAGCCUGGUGAAGAUAGCUUGGUCUUGCGAAAUAAUUUCGCAGCCCUCUUGGGUGUCUGCGAAAUUUCGCAGGCACCACUUUUUUCCUGCGAAAUGGCUCCGGAAGCCUCCCGAAGCUUGCUACCGACAUUGGGAGAUAUUUUCCAUUAGAUUUUUGUUGUCUAAAUUCCAAAAUACUCCUUGUAAACCACCAAUUACAUGAUUCCUUAGUUUUUAAGUUAGUAAAAAGACCAAAUAUCUAUGUAAUAAUUAGUUUUAUAUUAGUUUGCUAUAAAUACCUCUCGGGAGCAUGUUCUCAGAGAGGAGUUCCUUCUGUAACCAUUUUGGUAAGCAAGUAAAGUCUUUUCUUUCUACUGCCUUACCUUCUCACUUUGUAUUUUCAUUUUAUUUCUAAGUUAUGAAUUCUCUGAGGAGCUUUCCCCAGAGAAUGAGUAACUAAACCUCCAAUUCCUUGGAGCUAAGGUUGCCGGGGAAGGUUCCAAGUGCAAGAAUGCAAAGCUCUGUGGUUUUAGCUAGUAAUGAAGAGGAAGUGAAAUCCUUUAGUGAUUUCAAUGUUUUUAGUUAACUUAAAACACCUUGGAGUCACCUGGGCCAACACUUGGUAAGGCAAGUGAUUUCCAACCGUGGAAAUGCACUAGUUUACCCCUUGCGAGCCUCUGGUAGGUGACUUCAAGGUAGGAUUUUCUGGAAUUACCAACACUUGGUAAGCUUUUGGACUCCUAGGAGACAUCCAUUAGUUAUCUCUUGCGAGUUUGUGAAGGGGAAUCCAAGGUUAAAGAUCACCUUGAAUGGUAAGUGCUCGUGAGAGGCAUGAACCAUUGCAAGUUGUAUCAGUGAGAGAAUUAAAGUGAAAUCUAAUUGAAGGAGUCUCUGUACAUCACCGGUUAGAGAAUUGACUAUAAGUUGAAUCUCUAAUGCGAGGAAAUGAACCAUCUGACCGGAGCUAUGUCUUUUGCAUGAGGAACCACCCCAGUGAACCUAAAUCUCCAAGGAAUGCUUUUCUUCCUAAAUUAUUCCAAACUUCUGUUAAGUUAGUUAGUUUAAGUCUAAACCUUUACCAAUCAAACUUUGUGUUUUAUUUCUUAAGCUAACCGUGAAAUGAAACAAAACCAAUUCACUUGGAAUUGGUAUCCUUGAUUGCUUGCAAAUCAUUCCCAGUGAACGAUCCUUAGAGCCACUAUACUAUAGUAGCUUUGUAUUUGCUACCCUAGUGUAUGGUGUUAUAGGUAUAAAUUUUGUUGAUCACUUCCUCAAUCAAGGAACACCAGCUGAACACAAAUCAGCUGAGACACCAAUUGGGCAUGAGUCAAAUGGCGCCGUUGCCGGGGAAUGAGUGUCAAGAUCAUUGUGAUACCAUUUUUGAGCACUUGUGAUUUUCAUCACAAGUUGGUAAAGUUUCUUUCACUUUACUAAUUUUCAUUCUCUCUUUGUUUAUUUACAAUCUAAGUUUAUCUUUUUAAAAUUUAGUCUAGUUUAAUUUUGCUAUUGUAGCCUUGUUUCUCUUGUUGUCCUCUGUUCUUGUUGUCCUCUGUUUUCAUUUUAGUUGCAGCUGAAUACUAGUUGUGUAUGCCAAAGUGGAUACGAGACAUUGGAGGUAGGCUUAUUAAGUGUGAUACACCUCAGAGAGGAGAAUUGGAAGUAAUCUUGAAUAUCAUGGAGGCUGCACCUGAAGAUCAGCAUAGUCACCAAGGUCGUCAAGACAAUCUCAAUGAAUUCAGAUCAAUGAGGGACCGUAUGCAUCCACCUCGUAUGAGUGCACCAUCAUGUAUAGUGCCCCCUACAGAGCAACUAGUGAUCAGACCAUAUCUUGUUCCACUUCUACCAACUUUCCAUGGGAUGGAAAGUGAGAAUCCGUAUGCACACAUCAAGGAAUUUGAAGAUGUUUGUAAUACAUUCCAAGAGGGAGGAGCUUCAAUUGAUUUGAUGAGGCUUAAGUUAUUUCCUUUUAAUUUAAAGGAUAAGGCCAAAAUUUGGCUUAAUUCUUUAAGGCCAAGGAGUAUCCGCUCUUGGACUGAUUUACAAGCUGAAUUCCUCAAGAAAUUUUUUCCUACUCAUAGAACAAAUGGCUUGAAAAGGCAAAUUUCAAACUUCUCAGCUAAAGAGAAUGAGAAAUUCUAUGAGUGUUGGGAAAGAUACAUGGAAGCUAUAAAUGCUUGUCCUCACCAUGGCUUUGAUACUUGGCUACUGGUGAGUUAUUUUUAUGAUGGUAUGUCCUCCUCAAUGAAGCAACUCCUCGAGAAAAUGUGUGGAGAAGAUUUCAUGAGCAAAAAUCCAGAGGAAGCUAUGGAUUUCUUGAGCUAUGUAGCUGAUGUUUCAAGGGGAUGGGAUGAACCAACUAAAGGAGAAGUGGGAAAGAUGAAGUCUCAGUUGAAUGCUUACAAUGCAAAGGCUGGGAUGUAUACUUUAAAAGAGGAUGAUGACAUGAAAGCAAAGUUGGCAGCUAUGACAAGAAGAUUGGAGGAGCUGGAGCUGAAAAGAAUGCAUGAAGUGCAAGCUGUUGCUGAAGCACCAGUGCAAGUGAAGUUGUGUCCCAAUUGUCAAUCGUUUGAACAUUUGGUAGAGGAAUGCCCUGCAAUUUCAGCUGAAAGGGAAAUGUAUAGAGAUCAAGCAAAUGUUGUUGGACAAUUCAGGCCCAAUAACAAUGCUCCUUAUGGAAAUACCUACAAUUCAAGUUGGAGGAAUCAUCCAAAUUUUUCAUGGAAGGCCAGAGCAACUCAAUACCAACAGCCGGAUCCACCAUCUCAACAAUCUUCAAGUAUUGAACAAAUAAUAGCUAAUCUCAGCAAGGUAGUGGGAGAUUUUGUGGGAAAGCAAGAAGCCACCAAUGCUCGAGUGGAUCAAAGAAUGGACAGAGUGGAUCAAAGAAUGGACAGAAUGGAGAGUAUGUUGAACAAAAGAAUGGAUGGAAUGCAAAAUGAUAUGAAUCAAAAAUUUGAUAACAUCCAAUAUUCAAUUUCAAGGCUUACAAAUUUGAAUACACUGCAAGAAAAGGGAAGAUUUCCUUCUCAACCUAACCAAAAUCCCAAAGGUGUCCAUGAAGUGGAAAGCCAUGAGGGAGAAUCAUCACAGGUGAAAGAUGUGAAAGCUUUGAUCACUCUAAGGAGUGGUAAGAAAAUUGAGCAGCCAACACCCAAGCCACAUGUUGAGAAAGAAGAAGAGAUGAAGAAAGGGAAGGAAAUGGAAGAUAAAGGCAGUGAGAUCAGUGAAGAAAAGAAGGACUCUGAUGCAACAAUGAAAGUAAUUCCAGAGAAGGAGCUUCUGAAGGAAGAAAUGCUGAAGAAAUCAACUUUUCCACCUUUUCCUCAAGCAUUACAGGGGAAAAAGGGGGUUAGAAAUGCAGCUGAAAUCCUAGAAGUAUUGAGGCAAGUGAAAGUUAAUAUUCCACUGCUGGAUAUGAUCAAACAAGUUCCAACGUAUGCAAAAUUCCUAAAGGACUUGUGUACUAUCAAAAGAGGGUUGACUGUAAACAAGAAAGCCUUCUUGACUGAGCAAGUAAGUGCAAUCUUACAGUGUAAGUCUCCUUUGAAGUACAAAGACCCUGGAAGUCCUACCAUUUCAGUCAUGAUUGGAGGAAAGGUAGUGGAGAAAGCCUUGCUAGACUUGGGAGCAAGUGUGAAUUUGCUUCCAUAUUCUGUCUACAAGCAACUGGGACUUGGAGAGUUGAAGCCAACAGCAAUCACUUUGUCUCUGGCAGAUAGAUCAGUGAAAAUUCCAAGAGGGGUAAUUGAGGAUGUAUUGGUUCAAGUAGAUAAUUUCUACUAUCCUGUAGAUUUUGUUGUUCUUGAUACAGAUCCUACUGUAAAGGAAGCUAAUUUAGUUCCUAUCAUCCUUGGAAGGCCAUUUCUUGCAACUUCAAAUGCAAUCAUCAACUGUAGAAAUGGGCUUAUGCAACUCACUUUUGGUAACAUGACACUGGAUCUAAAUAUUUUCUAUAUGUCUAAAAAGCAAAUCACUCCAGAAGAAGAAGAGGGUCCAGAAGAGCUAUGUAUUAUUGAUACUUUGGUGGAGGAGCACUGCAAUCAACAUAUGCAAGAUAAGUUGAAUGAAAGUUUUGUGGAUAUUGAGGAAGGUUUUUCUGAAUCUCCUAAUGGGCUUGCUACUCUACAAAGUUGGAGAAAGAUAGAAGGAAUUCUACCUUUGUUCAAUGAAGAAGAGGAGGCAGCUGUUGAAAAAGAAAUUCCAAAACUCAAUCUGAAGCCUUUACCUAUGGAGCUGAAAUAUACAUAUCUUGAAGAAAAUAAUCAAUGUCCUGUCGUAAUAUCUUCAUCUCAAACCAAGUCUCAAGUGAAGGAUGCAAGCUUCAAAUGGGAUCCGGGCAAACUGAAUCAGGAAGGGCAAAAAGUUUUGAUGUAUGACACAAGACUCCAUAUCUUUCCUGGGAAGCUCAAGUCAAGGUGGAUUGGUCCAUUUGUUAUUCACCGAGUAUAUUCCAAUGGAGUGGUGGACUUAUUGAAUUCCAAUGGCAAGGACAGCUUUAGAGUCAAUGGAUAUCGUCUUAAGCCGUUCAUGGAGUCAUUCAAAUCAGAAAAGGAGGCAAUCAACCUCCUUGAACCUCAAAAAGCCUAAGUGAAAUGGGUUUGCUGGACGUGGUUUUACCACAGUCCAAAAAUUUUUGUAAAUUUUGUAAAUUUUCAAGUUGUUUCCAUGCUUUUAAUCUUAGUUUUUGAUUUUAAAUCAUGUUUUUAGGUGUGUUUUAAUCGUUUUAUAUGAUCCCAGGCGGAAGAAAUUUCAAGGGGAUUGAAAAGAAAAAAAUCGGGUCGAAAUUGGAGCCGAAACAGAGCAAAAACAGGGGAAAAACAGAGCUCUGCGAAAUUUCGCAGGGUGAAGGAAACUUCUGCGAAAUUGGCAUUUUGCUGCCAAACCAUUCCGCAGCACUGUAGAAGCCUCUGCGAGUGUAUUUCGCAAUUGCGAAAGUGGAUUUGGCACACGAGUGCCACUUCGCAGCACAGUGACAUCAAUUUCGCAGCUGCGAAACUCACUGCGAAGUUGCUGCGAAAAUGGCAAGUUGCUGCGAAAUUGGCGUUUUGUUGCGAAACGUAAUCUGACCCCUGGGCUUCCGUUUUUCCUAUUUAUACCUGUCAAAAGUGCUGCGAAAAAGGUUUCAAAAAUUAGAGCACCAUUCUCGCAGCCCUUUCAUCUUCUUCGCCAAGCCACGCCGUCCGUUUCUCCGGUCGUCUUCUCCGUUUAGCAGCGCCGGCCAAAGAUCGAUAGCCCAAAAAUGGCACGAACGCGAGGGGCAAAGUCUUCAUCCCCUUCGAACCGCAAAAGGAGUCUGCGAAAGGAGCCAAGUUCAGGCUCUGUUCCAGAACCUGCUCCAAAGCCUUCGCCGUCGAGACCACAACCUUCUCCAGUGAAGCCGGCGCCACCAAAGCCGCCGGCAAGGCGAUAUUUAACCAGGUCAGGUGGUCAGCCAUUGAAGAAGAAAGCCAGAGUUGAGAGCUCUGAACCAAUCGAUUUGACUGAGCAAUCCCCUGAGAAAUCACCAAAUCCUUCACCGGUACAAAUUCCAGUGCCAUCACCGGUUCCCUCGCCAAUUCCCUCACCAGAAGCAACUCCAAUUCCAUCGCCGGUACCAUCUCCGGCACCCCAAGAAAAAGCUCAGGAGCCUCAAGCGCCAAUUCCAGAGCCCCAAAUUGCAGCUGAAGCACCUCUGGAAGAAGUGAUCCGAAGGCCAAUGCUGCCUCAGCCCCCAAUCGAAGGAAACCUGGAUUGCCGAACUCGGGCAUUCCAUUCUGAGCUUUGCUUCGAUUUAACAGCAUUCAGAGUGAGGCCAGAGCUUGCCCAAUCCUUCCAACUGCUGAGGAGAUAUCAUAUGGAGCAUCUGCUAGCUCCAAGGGAUUUUUUCUAUCCCCGGGUAGUCACGGAUUUCUACCAAACCAUGACAACCAAAGAAGUAAGAAAUCCAACUCUGAUUCAUUUCAUAAUUGAUGGAAGGCAUGGUAUUUUGGGAGCAAGACAUAUUGCUGAAGCCCUGCAAAUUCCUUUUGAGCCAACUCAAUUCGACAAUUUUAAAGCUUGGACAAAUCCUACUGAGUUAGAGAUGGUUAGCACACUAACCAGAGGAGCUGCAAAUCGAUCGCAUUUGUUGAGGGGGGAGCUACCUCCAGUUAUGUUUUUGAUUGAUGCCUUUUUGAGGCAUAAUAUCUAUCCCCUGCAGCAUUGGACCCAAAGAAGGGGAAUUCUCCUAGAAGCCUUGUACAAAAUGUCUGAAGGAUUCUUCUUUGGGCCUCAUCAUCUGAUCAUGGCAGCCCUUCUAUACUUUGAGGAGAAGGUUCACAAGAAGAAGCUUCAAAGAGCAGAUUGCAUUCCACUCCUCUUCCCAAGGCUGCUAUGCCAAGUUUUGGAGCAUCUCGGAUACCCCUCUGAGCCUCAGCAGGAAAGAAAGAGAAUAUGCCGUGAGCCUUUUACCCUUGAUAAAUGGAAUAAUAUGACGGCCUACAAAAUUGAUCAGCCUGGGCAGCCUCAGCCAGCAGCAAGGAGAGUCUCCCCAAGACAUAUACCUGAAGGUAUAACACUUGCUACUCCUGCCAUCCCUCGAGCUCCACCAGCUGCACCUGCUCCAUCACAGCCAUCCACAUCAGCUGAGCCGAGGAUGGCCAUCCCUAUAUCCGAAUAUCGAGAGCUGUGCCGUGCAUUGGAGACUCUUACAGCUUCUCAGAGCAAUCUUGCUCAGGAGUUGGCAGCCAUUAAAGCAUGCCAGGAGCAGAUGUUAGCCUCUCAGACUCAACAAGCUGCCAUCCUAAGGCAGCUUCAAGUCCAUUUCGAUCUGCCACAAGCUGUAGAGCCCUCUAUUCCUACUCCACCAGAGCCACACUCUCAGCCUUCAGAGUCUCAUCCUCCAGAACCCGAAGCACCAGCUGAUCCACCUACUGAGGAGGCAGAUCCUUCUGCCUAGCACCAUCACCCCCCUCAUCAGACAUUAUAUAUAUAUUUGCUGUUUAUGUUUUUAUGCAUGUUUGUUUUGUUUUAGUUGAAAAGAAAUCCCAGUAUUUUGGUACUAUAUAUGGGAUUCCUUGUGUUACUUGUCUUUAGUAUUGUAAUCACAUGAACUCAAAGUAAUACAAGUUGACUAUUUCUUGUUAAAAGUUAGCAUUAAAGUUUCCUUAUUUCCUUUUCUCACAUAUUCUAUUCUUUUUGAAACAUGUGGUUUUCCCCAAUCAAUAUUCGAAUUUGAUAUCAGCAUGGAGGUACCACUUCCUCCCUUUUAUUACAGUCACUCAAAUCACAUUGAGGACAAUGCUCAGUUCGGUUGGGGGGUAUGAGGAAGGAAGUAUUCUAAACCUUUUUGGUAUUGCAAUUAUAUUGGUUAAUUAGUUGUAGAUUUUACUUUUUACUAGUGUUACUCUAUUCUCCAUGAAUUUUGAGGAAAAAUUUUCAAAUUAAACCAAGAGAAAUUGAACUGUUGUUUUUCACUUGACUUAGAGUAUGGAUUAUGCUUACUAAAGUGGUUCAAUUGUUGAAACUUCUACUGAAAUUGAAUUGAGUUCUUCCACUUUAAGCUAUCCACACACUGUGCACAUUAGUUUCCGAUUAUAAGAUGAAAAGCUAUUUCCCUCUUGACUUAGUAUAUUUUUGGGACUUGGUAUAUUUGACCUCAUUUGAUAAAAAUUGAAACACCCUGCAAAAGGCCAAUGAGCCUUUGAAAUAAAGAAAGUUGUUUGCUUGCCUUGAAACCCGAGCAAGGUCUGAGGGGUAUAUGGUGAAAAUCUUUAAAGCCUGGUGCCCUAAGCCUUAAUUGGUUGGGAGUCACCGACCUCAAUGCUCGUUACAAGGGUGAAUAGGUAGAGUUAGCAUAUGGUAGAUGCUUGGGUAUUAGAAAUUCAUUCUUAAAAGUCCGGGGAAAAAUCCGAGGAGUUAGUGGUUGAAAGAUCCUUAAAACUUGGUGCCCUAAACCUUAAUUGGUUGGGAGUCAUCGAUGGACCCCCAUUACAUGGACAAGUCAGAAAGAGUACCCCAUAAAGCUACCUUAAAAAAAAAAAAAAAAAAAAAAAAAAAAAAAAAGAUGAAAGUGUGUUCUUUUCUUAUUGAUUUUGGUCAGUUUGCUAAAGUGUUGAAAAGAGAUAGGUUGGGGGGUGAGAUUAGUAGCAUAUUAUUCUCGGAACCUAAGGAACCAAUACACAUAGAUUUUUGUGGAAGAUUGAAGUUUAGUUCUUAGAAAAUGAAAUGAUUUUAAAACUUCAGUUUGCAUAAUGCACUCCCUUGAUUGACAGUGUUUAGCAUAGGUGUUAUGACUCUUGUUGAGAUUUGGGUUUGUAUUUCUUUAAUGAUUCAUGUGAGAAAUAGAUCAUCAUGCCACUUGAGAAUUAUUUUCCUUUUAGCAUGAUGUUGUAAAUUUUAGAUUAGUUUGCUAUUUAUUUUUUAUUUUCUCUCCUAUAUUGCUAAGGGACUAGCAAUAUGUCGGUUGGGGGGAGUGAUUACUACUCAAAAAGUGCUAUUUGAUAGCCUUUAAUUAAUCCUUUUUAACACUUUUGAGUAGUAGUUUAGGCCUUUUAACUCAAUUGGCAUGUUAAGGAUCCUUUAAAGCAAUUUUGAUCACUUUGUGCAAGUUUUGGUGUUUUUGUUAGUAUUUUGAUCACCAAAGCAAGUCAAGAAUGAGGAGAACUAUGAGGAAUCAUGGGCAAAGCUUAGAAUUCAAUUGCCAAGAGUGAAUCCGGAUUGCAAGGAGAAAAAGCAAAGAGAAUCUGUCAUGAAGCCUAUUCUUGAUGACAGUCGUAGCAGCCACUUUUGGAGCACUUUCUGAAGUCCAAAUGAUGCAAGCUAUAUACCAUUUCAAAGCUCAGGAAGUCAACAAUCCAAUGCUUCAAACGGUGCGCGAUUCGGAGUUGAAACGAAGAAGUUGCAGCCAUUACAAGCCAGUCACUCUAAAGUGUUGCGGAAUCAGCCUUUUGUUGCGAGAAUUUCGCAGCACUUUUGUACAGUAAGGUGUUUCUCCUUCUGACGAUGCACGAACCAUGCCGCGAGAGGGAAGCUAGGAACUUCAAGAUGGAAGCCAACUUUGCAGCCUGGUGAAGAUAGCUUGGUCUUGCGAAAUAAUUUCGCAGCCCUCUUGGGUGUCUGCGAAAUUUCGCAGGCACCACUUUUUUCCUGCGAAAUGGCUCCGGAAGCCUCCCGAAGCUUGCUACCGACAUUGGGAGAUAUUUUCCAUUAGAUUUUUGUUGUCUAAAUUCCAAAAUACUCCUUGUAAACCACCAAUUACAUGAUUCCUUAGUUUUUAAGUUAGUAAAAAGACCAAAUAUCUAUGUAAUAAUUAGUUUUAUAUUAGUUUGCUAUAAAUACCUCUCGGGAGCAUGUUCUCAGAGAGGAGUUCCUUCUGUAACCAUUUUGGUAAGCAAGUAAAGUCUUUUCUUUCUACUGCCUUACCUUCUCACUUUGUAUUUUCAUUUUAUUUCUAAGUUAUGAAUUCUCUGAGGAGCUUUCCCCAGAGAAUGAGUAACUAAACCUCCAAUUCCUUGGAGCUAAGGUUGCCGGGGAAGGUUCCAAGUGCAAGAAUGCAAAGCUCUGUGGUUUUAGCUAGUAAUGAAGAGGAAGUGAAAUCCUUUAGUGAUUUCAAUGUUUUUAGUUAACUUAAAACACCUUGGAGUCACCUGGGCCAACACUUGGUAAGGCAAGUGAUUUCCAACCGUGGAAAUGCACUAGUUUACCCCUUGCGAGCCUCUGGUAGGUGACUUCAAGGUAGGAUUUUCUGGAAUUACCAACACUUGGUAAGCUUUUGGACUCCUAGGAGACAUCCAUUAGUUAUCUCUUGCGAGUUUGUGAAGGGGAAUCCAAGGUUAAAGAUCACCUUGAAUGGUAAGUGCUCGUGAGAGGCAUGAACCAUUGCAAGUUGUAUCAGUGAGAGAAUUAAAGUGAAAUCUAAUUGAAGGAGUCUCUGUACAUCACCGGUUAGAGAAUUGACUAUAAGUUGAAUCUCUAAUGCGAGGAAAUGAACCAUCUGACCGGAGCUAUGUCUUUUGCAUGAGGAACCACCCCAGUGAACCUAAAUCUCCAAGGAAUGCUUUUCUUCCUAAAUUAUUCCAAACUUCUGUUAAGUUAGUUAGUUUAAGUCUAAACCUUUACCAAUCAAACUUUGUGUUUUAUUCCUUAAGCUAACCGUGAAAUGAAACAAAACCAAUUCACUUGGAAUUGGUAUCCUUGAUUGCUUGCAAAUCAUUCCCAGUGAACGAUCCUUAGAGCCACUAUACUAUAGUAGCUUUGUAUUUGCUACCCUAGUGUAUGGUGUUAUAGGUAUAAAUUUUGUUGAUCACUUCCUCAAUCAAGGAACACCAGCUGAACACAAAUCAGCUGAGACACCAAUUGGGCAUGAGUCAGUGCGUUAGAGGAUCAAGAAGAAGAAAAAGAAGGAACUGUUGGAAUUAGUAUGAGUGUGAAGAGAAAAGUAUAUAAAUAAGGGGAAGUAAAAGCAAAGUUCAAAAAGCUAUAUUUUUUUAUUGUUGGUGUAUGGUUGCAUGAUUAUCCCUAUAAAUAAUAGGAGUUUUUUGGUAUUCUACUAGUAGUUGAAGCAUAAUUUCAUAAAUUAAUAUUUAGAGCGGGGUGGGGUGAGUUGUGACAAAAUUCAUACCCGUCCCAAACCUUGGUUCAGAUUUUUAAAAUAUUCUCAAACUUAUCAUAUACCCAACUUUUAUAUUUCAUACUUGUCCUAAUAGAGGCACGUUAGGCCGGGUUACUUGAGUAACCUACAUAAUUGUCAUCCCUAGUUGAAAUACACUUUUUGGCAGUGGCCACCAACUGAGCUAGAAGCUUGAUUGAUUGACCUACAAGAUUAGUUCUCAUCAUUUUAAAAAAAGUUCUGGCUUUGGUUGUGAGUGCAAUUGAAUCUAAACUGGCAUUUGCUUAAUGCAUCUACUUCAAUCCUAAACUUCUUACUUCUUAAGCCUCAAUUGUUGUUAGGAUUUUGGAAAACCCAUUUCCUUAAAUUGUAAAUUUAAGAUAAAAUAAAAUAAAAGUGAGACAUUUCUUGAUUGAAUAUUGUUAAAGGUCCCUUGGCAUUAAGACUUGGUUGAAGCCUUGGAAGAUUAGUGGAACUCUCAACAUGUGUUUGAAUCUUGAGGAGAGUGGAUGUAAGCCAAAAUUUUGUCAAACCAUUAUACAAAUUGAGUUUGAAUCCUCAUUUCUUGAUUUCUUAUUUAUUUGCUUUUUCUUAUUAUUACUUGAAUUGUCAUUUGCAUUCAUUAAUGUUAAAAUUGGUUAUAAUUAACCAACACUAAUUCUCUUUCCCCUUCCCUUUCUUGGGUGUAAACCUAGGUUGGAUUAACUAGAUAAAUCUAUUAAGAUGGUAAAAGAAUAAUUAUUCUUAACAUACAUAAGAUCAUCUUCAAUCAAAUGACUCAUUGGCUAAUAUGUUGAAUUUGCUUAUUACUUGCAACUCAAAAUUGUGUUCUAGUUGUGUCAAGUCCCCAGUGUAUGGACAUUAAAUUUGUAGUACGUGAUGAGUAAUUAGAUGGUCCAACUCCAAGAAAGUGAUUGAAAAGUAGUUCAAGAAAGGUGCAAAAGGGAAUUGUUUUGGUAUUUUCGUUUUUAUUCUUGAAGGUGGCAGAGCUAAAAUUUGAGAAAUCAAGCAAAACAUACUGAAAUUACAUUGAAAGAAAGAAGAUGGGAGUUAAUGUCUUGCAGUACAUGAUAAGGACUUCAUGCAUGUAGUGUGACCCAUGUCUUGGACUGAUGCCAACUCACGGUUACACUUAUACCCUUGGUUCUCUCUUUACUACCUUGGCUAACCUAGAUCAGGCUAUGAGAUAGGCUCCUCACCACACCAUUACUUGCCCAUUAAUUAGAGACAUUUUCAAGCAAUGAGGUAACAUGGUGACACCAAGAGGGUCUAUUCCUCGCCCGGAACAAGUCUAGACUUGGUCUCAAAAAAAUGGAGAAAAAUGAGGUGUCGUUAUGUAGAAAUACAACAACCAUGCCUUCCUCAUUACUUAGAUUCAGAAUGUGAAGGUGAAAUUGAGAAACAGAAACUCUUGAAACCAAAAUGAAAAUUGAUACUUUUACGAAGAAUUACAACAACAUUAGAGGAAGACUACAUUCUUCCUCUUUAUUCCUACAUUUCUACACUACUUCUACUCCACUCCAUAUUUCUACAUACAUCUUUAAUCAGUCUUCCCUCCUUUAUAUAGAGCCAUCUUCACACAAAUUUCGCAAGGUAGAAAAGAGGAAUGAAACUUGGAGCAAGGUUCGACUACUGGUUGUAGCUUGUCAAGGCUGGAAGUGAACUUUUCUUGGCUUUCUGGGCAUGGGUAGUAACUUGUGGGUUCCUGUUUGGCAUAAAAAUGGCUAGAACAUGUGGCACUAUCUUGUUGGAUGAUGUGUCAAGCAUGUGGCAGCCAUCUAGUGGCGAUUAUGUCAAUUUUGGGAUGGAGAGUUGGCAUCCAAUUGCAAAGAAAUAUGACGUCUACCAACAUGCAAUGUAAACCUAUGUAGAUCAUAUGAAGAUAGAGAGGAAAAAUAUAGAAAUGGAUAUAUACCUAGAACUAGCUUUUUAUUAAAUGAAACGGAGAGACAACAAUGAAGGAAAAUAAAAUUUUUUGGCUUAUAUCAAAGAGUUCACAUUGUGUUACCCUAGGUUUUCUUAAAACUUACUUUUAUGAUAACAAAAAAGAAAAAACCAUUAUUGUUUAAUCCUUUGUUUUAAACGCAUGUAAGGUGUAAUUAAGUUAGUUCAAUGCAUUAAUUUAAGAAACUUGACCUAUCAAAAGUACAAAAUUAGAUGAAAUCCAUUUCAAUGGUUAAAAUGAUCAAAAUCAAACUUUUUCUAAGUAUUUUUUAAAAGCAUCAAUAGUGAAAGACAAUUUUAUAUUUAGUCGGAGUUUGGACAAAACUGAAAAACACACAAAAUCCAAGCGACCAUCUCUAGCUUGGAUGGUCGCUUGAUCCCACCUAGAGAUGUGCAUGAGUAAAAGGAUUUGAAAAUGGAAAUUGACUAUGUAGUCGAUCAAUUAACUUUGCAACAUCAUAUGCAAUCCUAAUUGCUAGUCAUCUAAUCAAUUAGGUAGUCAAUCAACAGGCCAAAAAUAUGUUUAUAAUGACUAUUUUGUACAAAAACCACCUGUAUAGUUAAAUAUAAUGCAUUUCAUUUAUAAAUCUUCUAAUUCUUGAAUAACGAUCCUAUCAUCCUUUGAAAGUUUUUAUUACACUUUUUUUACUUUUGUUCUAAAACUUACACAUCACCCUUAAUUGUACCAUGAGAACCUAGCUAUUUUUUAUUUUUUUUUUUGUAAUUCAUCAAAGUUAGCUUUUGUAUUCAUUGUUGUAUUAUUUUUAGUAUAACUUAGAAAGCUAGUGUUUUCAAGUGAGUAAAAUUAACUUGUAAAUAUUGUAAAGAUUCAUCGACAUGUAUCUUAAACUAAGUGUACAAGUUAAAACAUUUGCUAGUAGAUUUUCUCAAAAUUUAGAAUAGAGCUUGAGACUAUUGAAAUAGGUGGGGUUGCACCAAACCACAUCACAUCGUUGUUUGCACCUUUUUUCACUCUCUUUUACUUAGUUGCUCUAUAUUUGUUGUCUAGUAAUAUCCUAUAGGCUUGAUGGGUUAGGGAGCAUCCCUUUGUGAAAAAAUUUUAUUCAAUCCUUAGUUGUAUCACGCAUAUAUAAAAUGCCUCAUUGUUUUAAUGGUAUUCAGUCGUGGCAUCACAGAUAUGGGCAUCUAAAUUUUAAAAGUUUGAAACUUUUAUCUAAAGAAAAUAUGGUGCUUUGCCUUUUUGUAAAGCAUGUUGAUGAAAUCCAUGAGAAUUGUGUACUUGGGAAGCAACACCGAGAUGACUUUUUUUUUUUUUUUAUAAUAUUGUUUGUCCAAAUUCCCUACAAAUUAGGCCACCAGAUGUUCAUAAUUCUCCCUUCUUGAAUUUGAAAACUCGGACAAUUGGACAAUGCGACACCUAAGUCCGGUUUCUAAAUGCUAAAGUGAAAGGGUAGGUAUGGACCAUUGAAAUGUGAUCACAACUUUUCUCUGUAGCCAUGUUGUCUCUUUUUUCUUUUGCAUGAUUUUCUUACCUUAACAGAAUCAUAGACUUGUUUAGUCUCUAAAUGGGAUUAAUUUCAUCCAGCUUUAAGCUACUAUAUUAUAUCUAGGUGGAGGACUUUUAAGAGUGCAACCGACAUAGAGCACAUGGAAGUGGGUAUAUGGGACAUGAAAUUUCUUCUUAUAAAGAUUGCAUGAUUUUUAUAUUAGAGUUGUUGAGGCGCUAUGUAUUUAGCUUGUUUUGCAGUUAAAUUAAUUGGAUAAGUAGACAUUGGCGUUUCUAAAUCUACUGUGAAGUGCUUCAUGUACGUGUGAAGUAUUAGAAAUUUCUUUCUUGGCAACUUGUUUUUCUUUGCGGUCUACUGAUAGGUUUGACUAAAAUUAUAUUCCCUGUCAUGCUAAUUAAUUUUCACGUGCAUGCUCAAAAGAAAAGUAUGACCUUAGUGCACCAAAAUCACUUUGAUUAAUUUGUGAUAGGUUUUUGUGCAUCAUGACAUUAGCCUUAUUCAUUUAGAUAAUGUUUAGUUUUUAGAAAGUAUUAAGAAAAGGAAAAUAAAUAUUAAGAAAAAUAUUCUUAUAUUUGAUUGUAUUAUGAAAAAUAUCAUAAAAAAAUCAAAUAUAAUUUAAAUUAAUUAAUAAUUUAUACAUUUUCAAAUUAUUUAAUCUUUAUAUUGAAGAUAUAAUAUAAAUGAAAUGAGUUUUAAGUAUUAUAUAAAAGUGAUUUAUUGAUCUUACAUAUAUAUAUUUCUUUUUUUUUUCCUUCUAUUUUUUCUCUUUAUUUUAUUUUCCUUAUGUUUUCCUCAACAUUUUCCGGAACCAAACAUAGCCUUAGGAAAUCCACAAUUACCUUCAACUGAGUAGAUUCUGUUGUUUUAGCAAUGUUAGGCUGCUAACUUGUGUUGGUACGAACCUAUUAAGCCUAAAGAUGUAAUUAGUUAGGAUAUUCUUUUCCCUCUAGUCUUGUAGCUCCACGUGUACAGUUGGUUAGGACCUCAUUGUAUAUAAUGCUUGCCCUGUUAUUGUAGAAGACAACAAAGAUAAAUAAUAUUAACAUUUUUCCUCUCAUCUCUCUCUGUUUCCCUCUGUUUUCAUCUCCUCUCUCAUCUUGGUAUCAGAGCCUCCAUGGCUUCUUUCAAAGAAACCUCCGAAUCACCUUCUGCUAGCAUUGUUAAUGUGCAAAACCCAUUAUCUCAAUCAAACAACCUUCCUUCACCAGUAGCCACACCCUCUUUUUCUUUCUCGUCUAUGAAUCAACCUCUCACAGUGAAGCUGGAUAAUGGGAACUACCUCAUAUGGAAGAAUUAGCUUCUAAAUGUCAUCAUUGCUAACGGACUCGAUGAUUUCAUUGACGGAUCUCGACCCUGCCCUCCUCGAUUUCUCGAUCUGCAACAACAAACCCUCAAUCCAGAGUACUCAGCUUGGCAGAGAUACAAUCGACUUCUGAUGAGUUGGCUGUACGCAUCCUUGUCCAAAGAUAUAAUGGCUCAGAUUGUUGGGUAUUCAACAGCUAUGGAGAUUUGGAAUGCCCUUAAUCAGAUUUACUCUGCCUCUUCUAUGGCGCGGUUUACUGAGCUUCGCACCAAGCUUCAAACGCUCAAGAAAGAUGGACUCUCAGUUGGUGAAUAUAUUCAAAGGCUCAAAUCCAUUUGCAAUAGUCUUGCAGCAAUAGGAGAACCAGUUUCUGAGAAAGACCAUCUUAUCUAUUUGUUCAAUGGAUUAGAUUGUGAGUAUUAUUCUUUUGUUACCUCCAUUCAAAAUCGAUCUGACCAACCAACUAUUGACAAAAUCCAUAGCCUAUUGCUUAGCUAUGACUUCCGGCUUGAACAACAAAACUCUGUUUCUCUCCAUUCUGCCCAAGUCCAUAUGGCUCAUCUGAACAAGAAACCUUAUAAAUCAACUCCUCAACCUACAUUCAAUCAUAUUCACAUUCAACCUAGAUACUCUUCUCCACCUUUUAAGCCAACCACUAGUCAAUAUCAACCCAACAUUUUGGGCAAACCACAACCACAACCAUGACAGCCUCAACCUCAAUGGAAACCACAUUUUUCAAUCUAAAAUCAAAAGCCUCAGCGCCAAAUUUGUGGUAAAUUUGGACACACUGCUCUUAUUUGCUUCCAUCACACAAAUUUGAACUAUUCACCCCAACCUUCUCCUAAAUCUUUCAAUACUGUUCUCACCACAAAUUCCCAGCUCCCUAAUCCUCCAAAAUUUUCUUACCCUACAAUGGCUCAUCCUGCUGCUACGCAUAACACGGUUCCCGAUACAAAUUGGUACAUGGACUCAGGUGCUACACAUCACUUUACUCUGGACAUCAACGUGCUUGACACUGUGACACCAUUUAGUGGUUCAGAACAGGUGACAGUUGGGAAUGGUAAGCAACUCUGUAUCUCACAUCUUGGUACUGCAAAACUACCAUCUUCGUAUUCUCCUCCUGUUCUACAUCAGGUAUAUCACACUCCAAAAAUUUCAAAUAAUCUUAUUAGUGUUAAAAAAUUGUGUUCUGAUAAUAAAGUUUUUGUUGAAUUUUAUGCCACUCAUUUUCUUGUCAAGGAUCAGGUUUCGAAGAGAGUUCUCCUUUAGGGUCAACUUGAUAAUGGCUUAUACAAAGUUCAGUCGUCAUGCUCUCCUUCUGCUGUUUCCUUUCCUCCUCAAGUUUUCAUAGCCAACAUCAAGUAUCCAAAUCUGUGGCACAAGAGACUAGGCCACCCAGCUUUAUCUGUUGUUAAUCAAAUCUUGGAUUCUUGUAACAUUGCUCGAACACAGAAAAUUUGUUUUAAUUUUUUAAAUUCUUGUCAAUUAGCAAAGAGCCACAGGCUUCCUUUUUCUCUGUCUCCAUCCAUUGCAGAAAAACCUUUUGAGUUAAUUCAUACAGACCUAUGGGGUCUUUCGCUCGUUCGCUCUAUUUCUGGUGCUCUUUAUUUUUUACUUUUCAUUGAUGAUCAUACUCGUUUUACUUGGUUUUAUUUGCUCAAAACAAAAGAUGAAGCAUAUCCUACUUUUCUCAAGUUUCAAGCUCUCAUUGAAAAUCAAUUUAAUACCAAGAUUAAGGCUGUCCAAUCUGAUUGGGGAGGUGAGUUUCGAUCUCUCUCCAUACCGUUUUCAAAUAUGGGCAUUGUCUAUUGUUUAUCGUGUCCAUACACCUCACAACAGAAUGGGCGAGUUGAGCGAAAAAAUCGCCAUGCGAUUGUCCUUUCUUGCUUGCUCUAUGCCCUUAUCUUAUUGGCCUUAUGCCUUUCAAACUGCCACUUACCUUAUUAAUCGUCUCUCUACCCCUGUGCUGCAUCAUCAAUCCUCUUACUUCGCACUCUAUCACAAACUCCCAACUUAUACUCAUCUUAAGGUCUUUGGUUCCUCUUGUUUUCCGUAUUUGCACCCUUAUAAUACCCAUAAACUCCAAUACAGGUCACUAGAGUGUGCUUUUCUUGGUUACAGUUCACACCACAAAGGUUAUCUAUGUCUUGACAUUCAUUCUAGCAGGGUGUAUAUUUCUCGCCAUGUGAUUUUUAAUGAAGAUUCUUUUCCAUUCAAGAAUUUGAAAUCUUCUCUCUCUCAGUCUAUUUCUUCUUCCUCUUCUUUAUAAGUUCCUCUGUUCAUUCUCUUGCCUCCCCUUUCCCCAUCUCCUCUUAUUUCUUCAUCUAUACCUCAUUCUUUUCCCUCUUCUUCUUCUACCUCUAGUACUUGUUCCCCUCUCGUUGCUCCUACCUCUCUUCCUUCCUCUUCACACUCUGUGUCUCCAUCUAUUCCACCUCCUUCUCCACCUUCUCCGAGUGUGGACCUGCUUGCACCUUGUGUGAAUACAAAUUUACAUACUUCUUCUCGCACUCACAAUAUUCAUCCUAUGGUGACUAGAUCUAAGGUUUGUAUCUAUAAACCUAAGUUGUUGUUGAGUGUCUCCAUAGGUUCUCUCACUAAGCCUACUUCCUUUCUUCAAGCUAUUAAAGAUCCUUCAUGGAAGCAAUCCAUGGAAUUCGAGUUUGCUACCCUUCAACACAACAAGACCUGGCAUUUGGUUCCUUCACCUUCCUCAGGCGAAGUAAUCGGUUGUAAAUGGGUCUAUAAGCUAAAGCUUCAGCCUGAUGGCUAAAUUGAGAGAUACAGCCUGCUUAGUAGCUAAGGGUAUCAUCAAAUUGAAGUAUGGACUACUUCGAAACAUUCAGCCUGAUNNNNNNNNNNNNNNNNNNNNNNNNNNNNNNNNNNNNNNNNNNNNNNNNNNNNNNNNNNNNNNNNNNNNNNNNNNNNNNNNNNNNNNNNNNNNNNNNNNNNAGCUUCAGCCUGAUGGCUAAAUUGAGAGAUACAAGGCCUGCUUAGUAGCUAAGGGUUAUCAUCAAAUUGAAGGUAUUGACUACUUCGAAACAUUCAGCCUGAUUGUCAAGCUUUCUACUAUCUGUAUUGUGCUCAGUCUUACUUUUUCCCAGAAUUGGUGUAUUAGACAGCUGGAUGUUCAUAAUGCCUUCUUACAUGGUGACUUAGCUAAAGACGUUUUCAUGGAACAACUGCCUGGAUUUGUUGAUCCUCUCUAUCCUACUCAUGUCUGCAAGUUGGAUAAGUCUCUCUACUGUCUUAAAUAGUCACCUCGGGCUUGGUAUACUAAGCUGAGUACUUCUCGCUACACUUGGGAUUUGUUACUUCUAAGAAUGACUCUUCCUUAUUUAUUUGUCAUUCGUCUCAUGGGUUACUUCUUGUUCUUGUCUAUGUGGAUGAUAUAAUCGUCAUUGGGAGCCACUCUCCUCAGGUUACUCACCUUAUCCAACAGUUGCAUCAUUAGCUUUCUUUAAAGGAUCUUGGUCCUUUACAUUAUUUUCUGGGCUUGGAGGUUCAUCACACCCCUACUGGUAUUCACCUCAGCCAAGCAAAGUAUAUCACUGAUCUCCUUACCCGGGCGGCUAUGUUGGAUGCCAAGCCAUGUCCCACUCCUAUGUCCUCCAACACAUAUCUCUCUUUUCAUGAUGGAGUGGCUCUUGAAAAUGGUUCAGAUUAUCGAAGUUUUGUUGGUGCCCUUUAGUAUUGUACCAUGACACGCCCAGAUAUAGCUUUUGCAAUAAAUAAAGUGUGUCAAUUCAUGCACCAUCCCUCUAAUGUUCACUGGCAGGCUAUAAAACGUAUUCUCCGGUACUUAAAGGGCACAUCUCAUUUUGGUCUCUUCCUACAGCCUUCCUAUGACUUCAACAUCACUUGCUAUACAAAUGCCGACUGGGCUUCCUGUCCUGAUGACAAGUGUAGCACCAGUGGCUACUGCCUCUUUCUUGCCUCUAAUCUGGUUUCUUGGUCAUCUUCCAAACAAAAAGUGGUCUCCCGCUCCAGCGCCGAAUCAGAGUACCGAGGGGUAGCAAAUGGGGCUGCUGAAAUUGCUUGGACUGAAUCUCUUCUUUGUGAACUUUCCAUUACUCCCCCUCCCCUCAUUCUCUGUGACAAUAUCAGUGCCACGUACUUAGCUGCCAAUCCUAUUUUGCAUGCCCGCACCAAACAUGUGGAAAUCGACUAUCACUUUGUCACGGAACGUGUUCUUCAAUGCUCUCUUUUUGUCCAGUUUACACCUUCUGAUGAUCAACUUGCUGAUUGCAUGACCAAGCCUCUCUCCACCCAACGUUUCAUCACUCUACGCUCCAAGCUCACUGUUCUCACUAGACCAAUGAGCUUGAGGGGGGAUGUUAAGCCUAAAGAUGUAAUUAGUUAGGAUAUUCUUUUCCCUCUAGUCUUGUAGCUCCACGUGUACAGUUGGUUAGGACCUCAUUGUAUAUAAUGCCUGCCCUGUUAUUGUAGAAGACAACAGAGAUAAAUAAUAUUAACAUUUUUCCUCUCAUCUCUCUCUCUGUUUCCCUCUGUUUUCAUCUCCUCUCUCAUCUGAACCAAAUGAUCCAUGUUAACCUUGGCUUGGUUUGAUUUGGCUCUAUCUUAGAGAGCUCAAGGAUCACGUCAACUCUGGUUUCUACUAUUCAGGUCCAUUCCCAUAUGAACUGGUUCAAAUUUGAGAAAAUGGUAACAGACCUUUAGUGAUGUUGGUUUGGAGCCAGUUGCCAAACCCGCCCUGAGCUUUACCACUAAUGUCAAGGGAGAAAGCCAUUUGAACAAAAACAAUAGCUUCAAGGGACUGAAUCGUGGAUGAAAUCUGAUCCACAUUUCUUCUCAUUUUGGAAACAAAUGAGAACUUAACUAAGAAGAUUCUACGGCCUCAUAGUGCUUUUCCUGAUCUAAGGUUGGUUCGUUUCCCAAACUGUGAGAUGCACGUGCCAGACUUCAGAACUCUCACGCUCAGGAGUGUAUCCACGUGGUGGACAUAAGAUGGUGGCUUAAGAUCUGGUGUCGGUGGCUUUACUUUACUAGGAGAGUAGUGUGUCUUCAUCUCAUUCACUGCCGGAGGGUGGCGUAAGCAGUGACGCUAAGGUGGGGCACAGUCAAUAUCAUUUGCAUUUGACCAUUAUAGUUUUCUCCCGGCUUUAAAGUAACCUUAUCGUGAUAAAGGAUUACUAGCACUAGUUCAGAUGAUAGUCAUGUUAAAUUCGGACCAUGUUUGUGUCACAUUAUCAGCAACCAUGUGUUUAUGGUUCAUGCUUUCUGCAACUAAAAUUGAUAUAUAACCAGGUGAACUUCAAUCUAAAUUCUGAAAGUACUCAUGUGAUAGAUGGUGCCCGUCUGCAGAGUCCAUCAAUUGAAAAAUGGAGUGAGUGUAUCUAUAAGAGGGAAGGCUUGGAAAAUGUUCAGUUUUCUGGGAAUUCAACAAGGAUCUAAAAUAGAUUGUUUUCUUUGCUGAUUUCAAUGGUUGAAAUUUGAGAAGAUUGUGUCCACAUAACACAACUAUUACUGGUCCUUCUGUUGCAAUUUAUCCUCUAAAGCUCUAGCAUGUCUUCCAAUUCCCACUUCCCUGUUACUCCAGGAAAGCUAUUUCUGUCAUUGUGAAGAAGAAAAGAGAAUGUACAUAUCGAUGCUUUUAAGUGACUGGAGCAUUUAUAUCAGGUGGUCUGCAGCCAUAUAUGCCACUUUGUGAAGAUUGGAACAGUCAAUCACUAGGCUAUAUAUUAGUGUGGCCCAGCCACUUUAAUCAAGGACAAGUCUUCAUACUUAAAGUCAAAUUCUGCCUUUAGUCUCAUUAUAAAUUUCUGUUUAAAUAUUAAGCAAACAUUUGUUUAAUGCGAUUAAGACAGUACUAACUCAAUACCUGUUCUAUUUUUGGAUGCAAAUGCUUGAUGGUUUCAUCAUUGGAUGGGAUAAAGGUGCAUUCAUGAUUAGGAAUACUAGUAGUUAUAUUUUAAUUCUCUUUUUUCUCAAUGAGACUUGUUGGCACAAUUUUGCUGUUGAGAAACCUACCUCUCCAUGGAAAAUAAGUUGUGAUUGAUAGUACUGGAUAUAUUCAAGAAAUCUAAAUAUAGAUAGCACAAAAUAUUAUCGACAUAAAUAGCAUUAACAGCGUACGUAUGUCUCAGUGCUCAUCAGCUAUAAGCAUGGGGCAAACACUUACUAUGAGCAACUUACGUCAAAAUUCCAGAAUAGGACAUAGAAGUGACAGAUAUAGAACAUUGCAUAUGAGUCACAAGAAAGGAAAUUACGGGUGCAUAGCAGCUCUUAUUUUACAUACUACUACUCAUACUGAUCAAAGUCACUCAGUUGGGAUGGGUGGGAGUAGGAGGUUUGUGGGGUGGCUUGUGCGGAGGAGUUGGCAGCUUCUUUCCAGGACCUGGUUGCUUCUCUGCUGGAGUUGAAGGAGGCUUAAUCUUCCGAGGUGGCUUGUAUGAGUCUUCAGCAUUCUCAGCUGGAGGGUGACCAGGGUUGUGACCAUAAUGUGGUGGCUUCUCUCCCUUAGGUGGUUUGCCAACUGGGGUUGGUGGCUUGUAUGAGUCUUCAGCAUUCUCAGCAGGAGGGUGACCAGGGUUGUGACCAUAAUGUGGUGGCUUCUCUCCCUUAGGUGGUUUGCCAACUGGGGUUGGUGGCUUGUGUUCUGGGAGUGGCUUCUCCCCCUUGGGAGGUUUUUCCAAUGGGGUUGGUUUGUGUUCAGGAGGUGGCUUCUCCACUGGAGGCUUGUGUUCAGGAGGUGGCUUCUCCACCGGAGGCUUGUGUUCAGGUGGUGGCUUCUCCACCGGAGGCUUAUGCUCUGGUGGUGGCUUCUCGAAUGGGGGAUGCUUAGGAUAAUCAGCAAGUGAGGGGGCGGUGAGAACCACCAGGCCAAGCAACACCACUAGCAAAUAUGUAGGAGACAUCUUUGGGUUUGGGCUCAGAUGGUGCAAAACUAGGAGAAUUGGCUAGCCUUUUAUAGCGGAUCGUACCCAAUAAUGAAAUGACACGUGUCAUUAUGACCCAUGUGUAAUGGGGUCGAUUUGGGUCCUACAGUGUUGAAAACUUCGACAUCCACUUUUGGCCUUUUGCUUUCUCUACAGCCGCCUUGCUUUUUCCCUCUUUCCUUUUGUUUUCCUCCUGCCCCAUUCUAUCAACUAAACACAAUUAUGUAGUUGUUUAAUUCUUAAAUGAGAUAUUAUCCGUCAAUCGUAUUAUAUUUUAUCAAGAGAGAACGGAGUGCAAUGUGGCUGUAAUUUUAUCGUUUAGUUUUAUCUCUUGGACCACUGCAUUUUUGUUAAGAGGUGCAAUAAUACACGUCUUUAUCUGCCAUUCAAUAUUUACAGUAAAGAGAGGGCACAAAACUCUUCACUUCGCACCAUAAUUAUUUUGUUUUCUGGACACCCCGGGGCCCUUUGGUUGGUUUGGGGGUCAGAAAGUGAACAUCAUAGGGGGUUUUUCCCUUAUGUGCAUUUGUAUCUGAUGGCUUUAACUCGCCUUGUUACUACAAAGAAACUGUCACAGAUAGGAACUUAUUCCAGGCUGAGUAUCUCCUCAUAGACCCUAUAAAAGAAGACAAGUCAUAAUGAACAUCUAACCUUUGUUCAAUUUGAUUCAAUGCCCCCAUUGUGUCCAUCUCACAAAUCUGAAUUAUUAUAUCCAUUGAAUACAUAAAUUAAUGAAGAAAAUAUGAAACCCAAGAUACAUCUCUGCACAACCUCAACCCUGGUUGCUAUGUUUCCCUUCUAUUCACAUGAUUUGAUGCUAAUUGCCAAACUUGCAACAAGCCCUGAGUUUGACACCUAGUAUCGAUGGGCGAAUUUAAAGUCUCCUCCAAACAUAUAUUCCACAGCUUGAAGCUCACAGAAGAUGUUACAGGCAGGGAAAAACCUUCAGAGUUCGCUACCAAAGAUAAUUAUUAAGGAGAUAUCACAAAGAGAAUUCCAAGGGGUCUGAAUCAAAGACAAAUUGGUCGUUCGUGGGGGUUCUUACUUUCUUUUGGGUAUAACUCACUGAGGGCACUGUCUUUGUUAUUUGCAUUUCACAUUUAGAGUUCUGUUCUGGAAACAUAUAAAAGGAGCAUCAUUUUGUUCUUGGGUAACCCAUAGUCGUGAGUGGGUCCAUUUGCAUGCUACUUAGUUGAAAAGUUGGACCAUUUGCUCCGACGCCUACCUCCCGGAUUCCAUGCUCGGAUAAAACAAGAAUAAAAAAAAUAUUUAUAAUUUACAAAUGGGGGAAAGAAAAAAAUGUCAACAACAAACCAGGAAAAAAGAGUAGUAAAAUUCAUGUCACAUGCUAGUGAGAGAAGGGGUUGUUACACUCACUCGAAGUUCUUUCCAAAAUAUCGCAUGGUAUUUUAUUUUAUGUGUCAGCGCAGUUGUGAAUGGAACGUGCAAAAGUCCAAAUUGGCGUUUUUCCUUUUCCCGUGUAGGAUGGCGACCUUUAAUAAAUAUUUAAAACAAAAAACGAAAAAAAGGAGGGAAAAGGGAUCAGAAAAGAUAAAACAAUGUGUACAAGAGCUCAAUUAGUUUGCAAAUUACUGUUUGGAUUUUGAUAGUAUUUUAUUUGUCCAUCUAUAUUUGAUGGAAAAGAGAAUUUAAGAUAUUUCUGAAACAAAAGCAUUAGUGUAAAACUAAAUUAAGGUAUAAUUAAGUUAGUUCAAUGCAUUAAUUUAAGAAACUUGAUCUAUCCAAAGUACAAAAUUAGAUGAAAUCCAUUUCAAUGGUUAAAAUGAUCAAAAUCAAACUUUUUCUAAGUAUUUUUUAAAAGCAUCAAUAUUAAAAGACAAUUUUAUAUUUAGUCGGAGUUUGGACAAAACCAAAAAGCACACAAAAUCCAAGCGACCAUCUCUAGCUUGGAUAGUCACUUGAUCCCACCUAGAGAUGUGCAUGAGUAAAAGGAUUUGAAAAUGGAAAUUGACUAAAUAUUUAGUUGAUCAAUUAAAUUUGCAAUGUCAUAUGCAAUCCUAAUAGCUAGUCAUCUAAUCAAUUAGGUAGUCAAUCAAGUGUUUGUAAUGACUAUUUUGUACAAAAAACCACAUGUAUAGUUAAAUAUAAUGCAUUUCAUUUAUAAAUCUUCUAAUUCUUGAAUAACGAUCCUAUCAUCCUUUGAAAAUUUUUAUUACACCUUUUUUACUUUUGUUCUAAAACUUACAUAUCACCCUUAAUUGUACCAUGAGAACCUAGCUAUUUUUUUUUUUUUUGUAAUUCAUCAAAGUUAGCUUUUGUAUUCAUUGUUGUAUUAUUUUUAGUAUAACUUAGAAAGCUAGUGUUUUCAAGUGAGUAAAAUUAACUUGUAAAUAUUGUAAAGAUUCAUUGAUAUGUAUCUUAAACUAAGUGUACAAAUUAAAACAUUUGCUAGUAGAUUUUCUCAAAAUUUAGAAUAGAGCUUGAGGCUAUUGAAAUAGGUGGGGUUACACCAAACCACAUCACAUCGUUGUUUGCACCUUUUUUCACUCUCUUUUACUUAGUUUCUCUAUAUUUGUUGUCUAGUAAUAUCCUAUAGGCUUGAUGGGUUAGGGAGCAUCCCUUUGUGAAAAAAUUUCAUUCAAUUCUUAGUUGUAUUACGCAUAUAUAAAAUGCCUCAUUGUUUUAAUGGUAUUCAGUCGUGGCAUCACAGAUAUGGGCAUCUAAAUUUUAAAAGUUUGAAACUUUUGUAAAGCAUGUUGAUAAAAUCCAUGAGAGUUGUGUACUUGGGAAGCAACAUCGAGGUGACUUUAUUUUUUUUUCCUUUUAUAAUGCCACACCUAAGUCCGGUUUCUAAAUGCUAAAGUGAAAGGGUAGGUAUGGACCAUUGAAAUGUGAUCACAACUUUUGGCCUUUUCCUUUCUCUGCAGCCAUGUUGUCUCUUUUUUCUUUUGCAUGAUUUUCUUACCAAAACAGAAUCAUAGACUUGUUUAGUCUCUAAGCUACUAUAUUAUAUCUCGGUGGACUUUUAAGAGUGCAACCGACAUAGAGCACAUGCAAGUGGGCAUAUGGGACAUGAAAUUUCUUCUUACAAAGAUUGCAUGAUUUUUAUAUUAGAGUUGUUCACGUGCAAUGUAUUUAGCUUGUUUUGCAGUUAAAUUAAUUGGAUAAGUAAACAUUGGCAUUUCUAAAUCGACUGUGAAGUGCUUCAUGUACGUGUAAAGUAUUAGAAAUUUCUUUCUUGGCAACUUGUUUUUUCCUUGCCAUCUACUGGUAGGUUUGACUAAAAUUAUAUUCCCUGUCAUGCUAAUUAAUUUUCAUGUGCAUGCUCAAAAGAAGAGUAUGACCUUAGUGCACCAAAAUCACUUUGAUUAAUUUGUGAUAGGUUUUUUUGCAUCAUUUAGAUAAUGUUUAGUUCUAAGAAAAAUUUAUAUAAAAAUGGUUUAUUUAUCUUACAUAUAUAUAUAUAUAUAUAUAUUUUUUUUUUUUUCAUUUUUUUUUCUUCUAUUUUAUUUAUUUAUUUUAUUUUCCUUAUGUUUUCCUCACAUUUUCCGGAACUAAACAUAGUCUUACGAAAUCAACAAUUGCCUUCAACUGAGUAGAUUCUGUUGUUUUAGCAAUGUUAGGCUGCUAACUUGUGGUGGUACGAACCAAAUGACCCAUGUUAAUCUUGGCUUGGUUUGAUUUGGCUCUAUCUCAGAGAGCUAAAGGAUCACGUCAACUCUGGUUUCUACUAUUCAGGUCCAUUCCCAGAUGAACUGGUUCAAAUUUGAGAAAAUGGUAACAGACCUUUAGUGAUGUUGGUUUGGAGCCAGUUGCCAAACCCGCCCUGAGCUUUACCACUAAUGUCAAGGGAGAAAGCCAUUUGAACAAAAACAAUAGCUUCAAGAGACUGAAUCGUGGAUGAAAUCUGAUCCACAUUUCUUCUCAUUUUGGGAAAAAAUGAGAACUUAACUACAAAGAUUCUACUGCCUCAUUCAUAGUGCUUUUCCUGAUCCAAGGUUGGUUCGUUUCCCAAAUUGUGAGGUGCACGUGCCACUCUCACGCUCAGGAGUGUAUCCACGUGGUGGACAUCAGAUGGUGGCUUAAUAUCUGGUGUCGGUGGCUUUACUUUACUAGGAGAGUAGUGUGUCUUCAUCUCAUUCACUGCCGGAGGGUGGCGUAAGCAGUGACGCUAAGGUGGGGCACAGUCAAUAUCAUUUGCAUUUGACCAUUAUAGUUUUCUCCCGGCUUGAAAGUAACCUUAUCGUGAUAAAGGAUUACUAGCACUAGUUCAGAUGACCGUCAUGUUAAUUCGGACCAUGUUUGUGUCACAUUAUCAGCAACCAUGUGUUUAUGGUUCAUGCUAUCUGCAACUAAACUUGAUAUAUAACCAGGUGAACUUCAAUCAAAAUUCUGGAAGUACUCUUGUGAUAGAUGGUGCCUGUCUGCAGAGUCCAUCAAUUGAAAAAUGGAGUGAGUGUAUCUAUAAGAGGGAAGGCUUGGCAAAUGUUCAGUUUUCUGGGAAUUCAACAAGGAUCUAAAAUAGAUUGUUUUCUUUGCCGACUUCAAUGGUUGAAAUUUGAGAAGAUUGUGUCCACAUAUCACAACUAUUACUGGUCCUUCUGUUGCAAUUUAUCCUGUAAGGCUCUAACAUGUCUUCCAAUUCCCACUUCCCUGUUACUCCAGGAAAGCUAUUUCUGUCAUUGUGAAGAAGAAAAGAGAAUGUACAUAUCGAUGCUUUUAAGUGACUGGAGCAUUCAUAUCAGGUGGUCUGCAGCCAUAUAUGCCACUUUGUGAAGGUUGGAACAGUCAAUCACUAGGCUAUAUAUUGGUGUGGCCCAGCCACUUCAAUCAAGGACAAGUCUUCAUACUUAAAGUCAAAUUCUGCCUUUAGUCUCAUUAUAAAUUGCUGUUUAAAUAUUAAGCAAACUUUUGUUUAAUGCGAUUAAGACAGUACUAACUCAAUACUUGUUCUAUUUUUGGAUGCAAAUGCUUGAUGGUUUCAUCAUUGGAUGGGAUAAAGGUGCAUUCAUGAUUAUGAAUACUUGUAGUUAUAUUUUCAUUCUCUUUUUUCUCAAUGAGACUUGUUGGCACAAUGUUGCUGUUCAGAAACCUACCUCUCCAUGGAAAAUAAGUUGCGAUUGAUAGUACUGGAUAUGUUCAAGAAAGCUAAAUAUAGAUAGCACAAAAUAUUAUCGAUAUAAAUAGCAUUAACAGCGUACGUAUGUCUCAAUGCUCAUCAGCUAUAAGCAUGGGACAAACACUUACUAUGAGCAACUUACGUCAAAAUUCCAGAAUAGGACAUAGAAGUGACAGAUCUAUAUAUAUAGAACACUGCAUAUGAGUCACAAGAAAGGAAAUUACGGGUGCAUAGCAGCUCUUAUUUUACAUACUACUACUCAUACUGAUCAAAGUCACUCAGUUGGGAUGGGUGGGAGUAGGAGGUUUGUGGGGUGGCUUGUGCGGAGGAGUUGGCAGCUUCUUUCCAGGACCUGGUUGCUUCUCUGCUGGAGUUGAAGGAGGCUUAAUCUUCCGAGGUGGCUUGUAUGAGUCUUCAGCAUUCUCAGCUGGAGGGUGACCAGGGUUGUGACCAUAAUGUGGUGGCUUCUCUCCCUUAGGUGGUUUGCCAACUGGGGUUGGUGGCUUGUAUGAGUCUUCAGCAUUCUCAGCAGGAGGGUGACCAGGGUUGUGACCAUAAUGUGGUGGCUUCUCUCCCUUAGGUGGUUUGCCAACUGGGGUUGGUGGCUUGUGUUCUGGGAGUGGCUUCUCCCCCUUGGGAGGUUUUUCCAAUGGGGUUGGUUUGUGUUCAGGAGGUGGCUUCUCCACUGGAGGCUUGUGUUCAGGAGGUGGCUUCUCCACCGGUGGCUUGUGUUCAGGAGGUGGCUUCUCCACCGGAGGCUUAUGCUCUGGUGGUGGCUUCUCCACCGGAGGCUUAUGCUCUGGUGGUGGCUUCUUGAAUGGGGGAUGCUGAGGGUAAUCAGCAAGUGAGGGGGCGGUGAGAACCACCAGGCCAAGCAACACCACUAGCAAAUAUGUAGGAGACAUCUUUGGGUUUGGGCUCAGAUGGUGCAAAACUAGGAGAAUUGGCUAGCCUUUUAUAGCGGAUCGUACUCAAUAAUGAAAUGACACGUGUCAUUAUGACCCAUGUGUAAUGGGGUCGAUUUGGGUCCUACAGUGUUGAAAACUUCGACAUCCAGUUUUGGCCUUUUGCUUUCUCUACAGCCGCCUUGCUUUUUCCCUCUUUCCUUUUGUUUUCCUCCUGCCCCAUUCUAUCAACUAAACACAAUUAUGUAGUUGUUUAAUUCUUAAAUGAGAUAUUAUCGGUCAAUCGUAUUAUAUUUUAUCAAGAGAGAACGGAGUGCAAUGCAGCUGUAAUUUUAUCGUUUACUUUUAUCUCUUGGACCACUGCAUUUUUGUUAAGAGGUGCAAUAAUACACGUCUUUAUCUGCCAUUCAAUGUUUACAGUAAAGAGAGGGCACAAAACUCUUCACUGCUCUGCAUGUGUCCCAAAAAUGCGAUUGGACAAAUUAUGAUUUGCAUGCUAAAAAGAGGCAAAUGAGGUUAAUUCGCACCAUAAUUAUUUGGUUUUCUGGACACCAUAAAAAGAUGUUAUACAGGCAGGGAAAAACCUUCAGAGUUAGCUACCAAAGAUAAUUAUCAAGCAGAUAUCACCAAGAGAAUUCCAUAGAGUCUGAAUCAAAGACAGAUUGCUCGCUCGUGGGGGUUCUUACUUUCUUUUGGGUAUAACUCACUGAGGUCACUGUCUUUUUUAUUUGCAUUUCACAGUUAGAGUUCUGCUCUGGAAGGUUUGUUCUGGAAACAUAUAAAAGGAGCAUCAUUUUGUUCUUGGGUAACCCAUAGUCGUGAGUGGGUCCAUUUGCAUGCUACUUAGUUGAAAAGUUGGACAAUUUGCUCCGACGCCUACCUCCUGGAUUCCAUGCUCGGUAAAACAAGAAUAAAAAAAAAUAUAUAAUUUACAAAUGGGGGAAAGAAAAAAUGUCGGAAAAAAUAGUAAAAUUCAUGUCACAUGCUAGUGAGAGAAGGGGUUGUUACACUCACUCGAAGUUCUUUUCAAAAUAUCGAAUGGUAUUUUACUUUAUGUGUCAGCGCAGUUGUGAAUGGAACGUGCAAAAGUCCAAAUUGGCGUUUUUAUUUUUCCCAUGUAGGAUGGUGACCUUUAAUAAAUAUUUAAAACAAAAGACGAAAAAAAAAAGGAGGGAAAAGGGAUCACAAAAGAUAAAAUAAUGUUUACAAAAGCUCAAUUAGUUUGCAAAUUACUGUUUGGAUUUUGAUAGUAUUUUAUUUGUCGUUCUAUAUUUGAUGUAAAAGAGAAUUUAAGAUAUUUCCGAAGCAAAAGCAUUAGUUUGCUCUGUGAUGUCCCACAUCGAAUAGGGGAGAAAGUUUCUGGCGCUAUAUAUGUAGAGGCUCCUCUUAACCAAGUAGAUGCGUUUUAAAACCAUGAGGGCCCCCUUAGGUCCAAAGCGGACAAUAUCUACAUGAUUGGGUGUAAGUCAUUACAAAUGGUAUCAGAGCCGAUCCCCGACCCCGGUGUGGGGGUUUGUUUGGCCCUGUAAGGGGUGUUUGUCUGUUUGACCCCACAAUCCCAUGGGACACAACGAGGACGUUGUGUCUGCAUGGGGGGGCGUUUGUGAUGUCCCACAUCGGAUAGGGGAGAAAGUUCCUAGUGCUAUAUAUGUAGAUGUUUCUCUUAACCAAGUAGAUGCAUUUUAAAAUUGUGAGGGCCUCUUUGGGCCCAAAGCGGACAAUAUCUACAUGGUUGAGUGUAAGUCAUUACAUGCUCCAUGUCAAUUUCAGCAUUUCUCAUAUGUUUCACACAUACACAGAAGAGCAUCGUUUUUUAAAGCAUGCAUUUAUGUUGGAUUAAUUUGGAUUUUGUGGGAACUGGGGCAAGGAUCACAUGGAAGAGAGGUUGACUUUUUUCAGUACUUCAAUGGUUGAAAUAUGUGAAGGCUUGAUUGAUACUAAAGCUUGAAAUUGCGACUCUGUCAUUUGUAAAAAAAUAUGACAGCUUCCAUGCUCUCGUUUGGUUGCAUUGUCCGGUCGAGAGGUGCAAAAAGCAUUCUCUCUCUUCUAAUAGUCUUUUCGUUUAAAUCAAGGGAUUUGCCUUCCCGGUCGAGGUCCAAUAGAGGGUAACGGUCACCUACUAAACAUUAAAUGCUCCAACAACUAGUGAACUGAUCGACCCCAGCUCGACUAGUUGAGGUUACUUUUUGGUUUUCUUGUCUCCCGAGGUUAGAAACCUAUAAAUAGAGAGCUUCACUUCAUUUAUGAGUAAGAGAACACCUAAAUUUAUUUGUUUACCUACUUGUUUUUGCCAUAAAAGCUCUCAUUUCUUUUCUUGGUGUAUUAAAUCUCCAUUUGCAUAUCCUUUAGUGCACCUUUGUGAUUCAUUCUAGCCUUGAGUUGUAUUUAAGCCUUUGUUGAGCUAGGUUGAGAGUUUCAUACUUGUUUAUUGAGUGUUAAAGCCUUCAAGUGAGUUAAAACUUGAAGAGAUUGUGUAAGAGCCCAUUGGAGUCGGAAUCCAAGUGUAAAGGUGAUUAAAAGCUUGGUUGAAGCUUCAAGUUAGUGGAACUCUCACUCGGUUAUGAGCUUGAGAAGAGUGGACAUAGACAAGGCAGUGUCGAACCACUAUAAAAUCUGAGUUUGAUUUCUCUAACCUUAUCUCUUUAUAUUUGCUUCUCUUGUGCUUAAAUUUUUUGUGUUUAAAAAGAAUUUUUAAAAACUCAAUUCACCCCCUUCUUGGGAGUUUUUCUCUUUUAAGAUCAGCUUUUAUUUUCUCAAUUGGUAUCAGAACUAUGCCUCUUGUUUAAGACUUAAUCGUCUAAGAGGAAAUGGCUAAUCCAUCAAGUUCAUCUCACAUUGAAAGUUUUGCAACCAAUAGACUUCUUUUUUUUUUUUUGCGGGAACUGAUUAUCCCUAUUGGAAAACUAAAAUGACUUGGUUUUUACAAUCAAUUGAUUUAGAUGUAUGAGAUGCCAUUGAAGAUGACCUAACUUUUCCUUCAAAACUAGUUGAUGGAGUCAUGGUUCCAAAACCUAAGCAAGAAUGGGAUGAGCGUGAUUGAAGAAAUUUUCAAUUAAAUGCUAAAGUCGUUUAUACUUUGCAAUGCUCUAUGGACAGAAAUGAAUAUAAUAGAAUAUGUCAAUGCAAAUCGGUUAAAGAAAUUUGGAGAUUGCUUGAAAUAACUCAUAAAGGAACAAAUCAAGUUAAAGAGUCAAAAAUCAAUUUACUUGUUCAUAGAUAUGAAUUGUUUUUUAUGAAAGAUAAUGAAACUAUUGUUAAGAUGAUCACUAGGUUCACCAACAUUGUUAAUGGUCUUAAAGCCUUGGGAAAGACCUACAAGGAAUCCGAAAACGUGAUGAAGAUCUUGAGGUCACUUCCAUCAAAGUGGCAUACCAAGGUCACCGCAAUUUAAGAAGCAAAAGACUUGAUCAAGCUACCUUUGGAGGAGUUCAUAGGGUCAUUGAUGACAUAUGAAAUCAAUUUGGCAAAGAAGUAACAAAAAGGUGAAGACAAAAAGAAGAAGAACAUAACUCUCAAAGCUACAACUAAGGAAGAAGAAGUUGAAGAAGAAAAACAAAUUGAAGAAGAUGAAGAUUUAGCCCUCAUCACAAGAAAGUUCAACAAAUUCAUGAGGGGUGAAAGGUUUAGAAGAAGAAGGUUCACUUCUAGAAGAGACUUUUCUAAAAAGGAAUCUUCAUCUAAUGGUGACAAAAAGAGAUGGGAAGAGAAAAGAGACUUGGUGUGUUUCAAGUGCAAGAAACCGGGACACAUUAAAUAUGAUUGUCCUCUCUACAAAAGUGAAGUCAAGAGGAAAAAGAAUAAGGCAAUGAUGGCCACUUAGAGUGAAAGUGAAGAUGAAUCAUCCGAAGAAGAAAAUGAGAAAGAAGUGGCAAACAUGUGUUUCAUGGCAAUAGAUGAACUUGAUGAGGUAAAAUCUAACCUUAGUGAUUAAGAUAUACAUGAUGCAUUUGAAGAAUUGUAUGAGGAUUUUUAAAAACUUAGUUUGAAAAAUAUUUCUCUUAAAAAGAAAGUUCAACAACUUGACAAAGAACUUAGAGAAGUAAAAGAAAAAUUUUCAAAUGUUAAAGUUUCUAAAACUCAUCUUGAAAAAGAAAAUGAGAUUCUAAGAAAGAAAAAUGAAUAGUUGAACUCCUCUCUUUCAAUCUUUUCUUCUAGACAAAAAUCUUUUGAAAUGAUUCUAACUAGCUAAAAAUGUGUUUUUGACAAACAAGGGUUAAGAUUUAAAUCUUCAAAAAAUCAAAAGUAUUUUAAAAACUAUUUUGUAAAGGAAUCCACAAGUGCAAGUCCUUCCACUACUUGCAACUUUUGUGGAAGAGAAUGGCACAUUAGUAGUACGCCCUUUAAGAAAUGGUUCUCAAAAGAAUUUAAAUGCAAAAACUAAAAAAGAUUUGGAUUGAGAAAUCCAAGGUCACUAACCCUCAAGGACCCAAAAAGAUAUAGGUACCUAAAUCAACUUGAGUUUUAUGUUGUAAGGUUCAAAGAAUGAUAAGUGGUUCUUAGAUAAUGGUUGCUCAAGACACAUGACCGGAGAUGAAUCCAAGUUUGCUUUUCUUAAAAAGAAAAAUGGAGGAUAUGUUACCUUUGGAGACAAUGCAAAAGAAAGGAUGAUUGGUCAAGGCAACAUUGGUAAUGGCACAUCCUCUCUCAUUGAAAGUGUUUUAUUAGUAGAUGGUUUCAAACAUAACCUUUUAAGCAUUAGUCAAUUUUGCGACAAAGGUUUUUAAGUGAUUUUUUAAGCAUCUCAUUGCAUCAUCAAGGAUAUUCAAAAUGAUAAAACCAUUUUCAUGGGCCAUAGAUGUGAUAAUGUUUAUGCUAUAAAUAUUUCAAAAUAUGAUGGCCAUGAUAGAUGUUUUUCAAGCAUGCAUGAUCAAAGUUGGUUGUGCCAUAGGAGAUUGAGACAUGCUAACAUAGACCUCAUUUCCCAACUCAACAAAGAUGAACUUGUUAGAGGCCUUCCCAAAAUAAUUUUUUAAAAAGAUAAAGUUUGUGAAGCUUGUCAAGUGGGAAAGUAAAUCAAAAACUCUUUUAAAAACAAAAACUUCAUUUCCACAUCUAGGCCACUUGAGUUGUUGCAUAUGGAUUUAUUUGGUCCCUCUAGGACACCAAGUCUUAGAGGAAAUUCUUAUGCAUAUGCUAUUGUGGACGACUUCUCUAGAUACACAUGAGUCUUGUUUUUUAGUCAAAAGAAUAAAGUUUUUUAUGAGUUUUCAAAGUUUUGCAAUAAGAUUCAAAAUGAAAAAGGUUUUUCAAUUACUUAUAUAAGAAGUGAUCAUGGGAGAGAAUUCGAAAAUAUUGAUUUUGAAGAGUAUUGCAAUGAGCAUGGAAUUGACCACAAUUUUUUGGCUCUUAGAACUCCUCAACAAAAUGGGGUAGUUGAAAGGAAAAAUAGAACUCUUCAAAAAAUGACAAGAACCAUACUAAAUGAAAACAACUUACCAAAAUAUUUUUAGGCCAAAACGGUUAACACUUCUUGUUAUGUUUUAAAUAGAGUAUUAUUGAGGCUCAUACUUAAGAAAACUCCCUAUGAGCUUUGGAAAAACAAAAAACCCAACAUUAGUUAUUCCAAAGUCUUUGGAUGCAAUAUUUUAUAAUAAACACCAAAGACAAUCUUGGAAAAUUUGAUGCAAAAUUGGAUGUUGGAAUUUUCCUUGGUUACUCAACUUCAAGUAAAGCUUUUCGAGUUUUAACAAAAGAACCAUGGUUGUAGAGGAGUCCAUCCAUGUUAUUUUUUAUGAAUCUCCAAGAAAGAGAGAGGAUUGAUGAUGAUUUAGGUUUGAAGACCUCUAUAGGAAGAUUGCAAAUCGAAGAUAGAAGACAACAAGAAGAAAAUGGAGAGAAUCCAAAGAAAGAAGGAUCACCAUUGGCACUACCCCCUCAUCAACAAGCGCAAGGUGAAUCAAGUCAAGAGCUUCCUAAAGAAUGGAAGUUUGUCAUCAAUCACCCACAAGAUCAAAUUAUAGGCAAUCCAUCUAGUGGGGUAAGAACUAGAUCCUCUCUUAGAAAUAUUUGCAAUAAUCUAGCUUUUAUCUCUCAAAUUGAGCCUAAAAAUAUAAAUGAUGUUUUAGAUGAUGAAAAUUGGAUAAUUGCAAUGCAAGAAGAGUUAAAUCCAUUUGAAAGAAGUGGAGUAUGGGAAUUAGUACCAAGACCUUCAAAUCAAAGUGUUAUUGGAACUAGAUGGAUCUUUAGAAAUAAAAUGGAUGAAAAUAGCAUAAUUGUUAGAAAUAAAGCAAGAUUGGUAGCCCAAGGUUUUAAUCAAGAAGAAAUGAUAGAUUAUGAAGAAACCUUUGCCCCCGUAGCUAGGUUGGAAGCCAUUAGGAUGCUACUUGCCUUUGCAUGUUUUAAAGACUUUGUUUUAUAUCAAAUGGAUGUGAAAAGUGCUUUUUUAAAUGGUUUUAUAAAUGAAGAAGUAUAUGUUGAACAACCACCCGGUUUUCAAAGUUUCAACUUUCCUAACCAUGUUUUUAAACUUAAAAAGACACUUUAUGGUUUGAAACAAGCACCUAGAUCAUGGUAUGAAAAAUUGAGUAAAUUUCUUUUGAAAAAAAUGUUUUAAAAUGGGAAAAAUUGACACAACUCUUUUUAUAAAAACCAAAGAAAAUGAUAUGCUCUUAGUUCAAAUAUAUAUUGAUGAUAUCAUUUUUGGUGCUACUAAUGUCUCUCUUUAUGAAGAAUUUUCUAAGUGCAUGCAUAGUGAGUUUGAAAUGAGCAUGAUAGGAGAACUCAACUUCUUCCUUGGACUUCAAAUCAAGCAACUAAAGGAAUGAACCUUCAUCAAUCAAGCAAAGUAUAUAAGAGAUCUUCUCAAAAGGUUCAACAUGGAAGAAGCCAAAACAAUGAAGACUCUAAUGAGCUCAUCCAUUAAGCUUGAUAAGGAUGAGAAAGGUAAAUCCAUUGACUCUAUUAUGUAUAGAGGCAUGAUAGGUUCUUUGCUCUAUUUGACCACUAGUAGACCUUACAUUAUGUAUAGUGUGUGUUUGUGUACUAGAUUUCAAUCUUGUCUUAAAAAAUCUCACUUAAGUGUCGUGAAAAGAAUCCUCAAAUAUUUGAAAGGGACAAUGGACAUAGGCUUAUGGUAUCCUAAGAGUGAUAACUUUGAAUUAAUUGGUUUUUUGGAUGCUGAUUUUGUCAGUUGUAGGGUUGAAAAAUAAAACACUAGUGGCACUUUUCAUUUCUUAAGACACUUACUUGUCUCAUGGCAUAAUAAGAAGCAAAAUUUGGUAGCUUUGUCAACAGCAGAAGCUAAAUACAUAGCAACUGGUUUAUGUUGUGCACAAAUCCUUUGGAUGAAAUAAACACUUAGUGAUUUUGAUUUAUCUUUUGAGCAUAUUCCUAUUAAAUGUGAUAAUAGUAGUGCCAUAAGUAUAUCAAAAAAUCUCGUGCAACACUCUAGGACUAAGCAUAUAGAGAUUAGACAUAAUUUUCUUAGAUAUCAUACACAAAAGGAUGAUAUAACACUUGAAUUUGUAAGCAUAAAAGACCAACUUGCCGAUAUCUUUACAAAACCUCUAAGAACAUUUUGUUGAUAUUAGAGGACAAUUAGGAGUGAUUUCUUUAUGAUCUAAUGUGAUGAAUUCUUGAUGAAUAUACUUUUUGAUUGCAUGAAUUUCAUGUCAUAUAUGCAUCAUAUAGAAAUAUACUUAGAUAAUGGUCAAAUUUCGACCAAAAAUCAAAAUUCCCAUGGCAUUAGGCAUAAAAAUUUUGGAAUUUCAACUGAAAAUGGUAGGAGGAGGAUCACAAAAUGAGAAAGUAUGCAAAAAUUGAAAAAUCAAAACGUUGACCAAGCGGUCAAUCGGACUAGACCGAUCGACUAGUUUGUCGAGAUUUAGGAUUUUUAAGAGACUCCAACGCUUCAAUUUUUGCACCGUUCUCCUCUAUUUCUUCACGGUUUCUCUGAUUUUGUCUUUUAGAGACUAAUUUGAGUGCGUUUUGGAUCAAUUGAAGCAUUUUGGAUUGGAUUUUAGGAAGAUUGAAAGUUAAGGUUUCGGAUUUGGGUCGCCUUCUCUUCCUCUCGCGUGUCACAAUCAGCUUUAGCAUUGUUCUCUUUCCAUUUUCACACACCUAGGGUUUCAGUUGUGAGCAUCUCUCUCUCUUUACCAACCACUACUCCCUUGCUUCUUCCAUAUGGCUCCUAGGCGAGAGUCCGCUACUUCUAGGGCACAAGGCAAGCACCCAACUGAGUCGUCUCAGUCAAAGGCACGUCGAAAAGUGAGAUUUGACAUUGCCUUGUUCAGUUCCAUGGAGGACUACCAACUAUACAAGCAACACUUUGCUUAGAGACGAGUAGUUCCCAAGAGAAAUAUUAAUUUUCCUCAACUUCAGCAUUUCGAAUUUAAGGGUCUAUUUACUAGGAUGGUUGGUUGUCUAUUGUCACAAUUUCGGAGCCGGUUUUCCUGACCUUAGUGCGAGUUUUUUACUCGAGGGCGACUUAUGGCAUGGGUGGCAUGAUCAUUUCUACUGUUGGAGGAGUUGAGAUCUGUCUGGACCCAGAGAGCAUCUGCCAUAUUUUCGAUAUUGCUCUGGUUGGACUCAAAGUAUACAAGUCCAAAAUGUGGCCCAUUGUGCCAGGAUUUGAGCUUAGAGAGGUCAUUCAGAGGAUUUGUGAACUUCCAGACGCCCAGGAGAUGGGCAAACCAUUGCCACACAGUUUGACGGUCAUCAACAGGGUGCUACACCAUAUAUUGUGCUCUAUCUUUCUACCACGAAGUGGACAUUGAGAUGAGGUCUCUUAUUAUGAGGCAUUCCUUAUUGACUCCAUUCUAACGGAGAGACGAAUUCAUCUACUAUGUCAUCAUUCACUAAGCCUCCUCACAGUGACAUACCACCUCAUCAGGCACCUCUUGCUCCUGACCAUGCUCCAUUGAUGGAUUUAUUUACUCAUAUUAGCUCUCUAGGCACUCGCAUGAAGGAGUUUGUUGUAGUUAGUGAUACAUGGUUCUACUCCAUAGAGGAUCGCAUGGAUCAGUAUCAGACUGGCUUCACGUCACAGUUUGAGUAUCUCCAAUAGAGGAUUGAGCAUAUUGAGGAUCACUUGAGCAUGAGAAGAUGAUGGCUUUUCUAUGCUCUGUGUUUCCACCUCCACCUCGUCAACCUUGAUUUCUUAGAGACCCAUUGUUUUCAUUUUGUAAUGUUGCCAAAAGGGGGAGAUAUUUAGGAUCUAGGACUCUAUAGGAGACUUACAUGCAUAUCAUUUUCAUAUCAUUGUUUGGAUCGUACAUAUUGGAUAGUGAUACUUUUUACUUAUAUAUGAUAUGCCUAUAUGUUUCAUGUCUUACAUUGUUUCUUAUUGCAAAUUAUCUCUAACAUGUCUUGAUUAUCUUUUUUUUAACUUCAUAAAUUUUGAUUGUUAACCCAUGAUUGGUUUGAGGGGAAGAUUCUUCUUCUCCUAGAUAACCAAGGUUUGUCAUCAUAAAAAAAUUGGAGAUUGUUAGCCCAAGGGUUCUCCUAAUCAUGUUUUGAUGAUAACAAACCAUGCUUAAGUUACUAAUUGGUUUGAAUUAUAAAGAAUUUCAAGUGUUAAUUUGAAAAUUCAUCAAAGAACCUAAUGGAUGCAAGAUCAAGAUUUUUGGAAGACCUUUAAUCAUAAGAAACAUAUGUAAGAUGAAUGCAUGGGUGCACUUAAGAUUUGCAUAUCAUUUCAUGCAUAUUUGGAAAACACGGUUUAUGCUUUAAAGUUACAUUUCCAUCAAAAUUUGAGAUCCAUCAAAUGAACCUUAGGAAAAAUGUUUUAAAAUUGGCAUAUAAUUUUACCUAAAGACCUUGCCUAAGUGUUAGAAGCAAAAGGACAAAAAAAAUAUAGGUUUUCUGGUCAAAAAUGGUGAACCAGUCAAGGCAUUGUCUAAAUCAGCUCAAUCGGCCAAGGUACCGGUCGAUCGGUUUCCCUUUCCCUGUCGAGAUCUAGUCAAGAGGUACAAAAAUCACAAUCUCUGUCUCUUUCUCUCUUUGUCUAUCUUCCAGUAGUCUUUCCUUCCCGGUCGAGGGAUUUGCCUUCCCGAUUGAGGUCCGAUUGAGAGUAAUAGUCACUUGCCAAAUAUUAAAUGCUCCAACAGUUAGUGAACUGGUCGACCCCCACCUUGCCCAGUUGAGGUUACUUUUUGGUUUUCUUGGCUCCCGAUGUUAGAAACCUAUAAAUAGAGAGUUCCACUUCAUUUAUGAGCAAGAGAACACUUGCAUUUAUUUGUUUACCUACUUGUUCUUGCCUUAAAAGCUCUCAUUUCUUUUCUUGGUGCAUUAAAUCUCCAUUUUGAUAUCCUUUAGUGCACCUUUGUGAUUCAUCUUAGCCUUGAGUUGUAUUUGAGCCCUUUUUUUAGCUAGGUUGAGAGUUUCAUACUUGUUAAUUGAGUGUUAAAGCCUUCAAGUGAGUUGAAACUUGUAGAGAUUAUGUGAGAGUCGAUUGGAGCCGAAAUCCAAGUGUAAAGGUGAUUAGAAGCUUGGUUGAAGCUUCAAGUUAGUGGAAUCCUCACUCAAUUAGGAGCUUGAGGAGAGUGGACGUAGCCAAGGAAGUGUCGAACCACUAUAAAAUUUGAGUUUGAUUUCUCUAACAUUGUCUCUUUAUAUUUGUUUAUCUUGUGCUUAAAUUUAUUGUGUUUAAAAAGAAUUUUUAAAUACCCAAUUCACCCCCCUCUUGGGUGUUUUUCUCUUUUAAAAUUAGCCUUUAUUUUCUCACAAACUAUUGUAGUAUAGUGGUUUUUAGGUGUCAUCCAUUAGGAUGAAUUGUUCUCGGUAAUUAAGGCGUGAAUGAGAGGAGAAUUAAUGAUUGUGAUUAAGUAAAAUUGAUUUGAAAAUUCAUGGUGAAAAAUCAAUUUAACAAUGGUUUCUAAUUGAGAAAAACAAUGAAAUGUGAAAUAAAAUAAAAUUAAUAGGAAAUGAAAUUCUCGAAGUUAGAAUUUUCUAAAAAACAAAUUCCAUGGUGAAUGGAUGUUGAGAUCUAAUUUUCAUCAAGUUAGAUUGAAAACCGAAAUUUUCAUAUAAACUGAUUUUUUAUUUAGUUUUAGGUCUAGAUUUAAUUUCCCUUAAAAUUAGGUUAUUUAAUCCAAGAAAUCAAUUCAAAUCAUAUAUUCAAUUCAUCUUAAAUUAUCUUCCAAUUAUUCACACAAUGCAACUAUUCAAUCUCAUCAAAUCUAGCUUUUAAGAAUUUAAUGAAUCUACCUAGUUUGCAUUGUAAUAGUCAUCCAUGACAAUUUGAAGAGAAAAAUAAUUCAAUUAAUCAAUCACUUGGAUCAAAUUACCUUUGCAAUUAAAGUUCAUUUCUCUAAUUCACCACAGAUUUUGUCUCUAGAUCCUCCUUUCUCAAAGAAAAAUGAGAUUUAGCCACACAUGAUUGGAGAUUUGGUCUCAUAAGGCAUGUUUAGCUAGUGAUAAAAUGAGAGAAAAUAAAGAAAAAUAGAGAAUUCGAUUAAGAAAGAAAAUCUAAAAAAUUCUACAAUUAGAAAUGUCCAAAAAGCUUUUUCAUGAGAAAAUCAAGUUUCUAUUUAUAGGCCAAGGUCAAGUGGACACUUGACAUCAUCUAAGAGGUCUUCCGGAAGCUUCUUCAUCAAGAAAUCUGGAGUUUAAUAAUAAAAUGGUCAUUUCACAAGAGCUCAAACAAUUUCGCAUGAUUAUGUGAAAUAAAAAAUGCAACAACAGCAAUUUACAUCUUCUUGGAGCAUUUCGCAUGACUGUGUGAAAUUUUCACAUGAUCAUGUGGAAUCGACUUGACAACUCUCAUUUAGCCUACAACAUAAUUCCACCUUUUGGUCCAUUUUUCAUAGUCAUGCGAAAUGGAAAUAUUUGAUUUUUAAGUUUUCUUUUGUCAUUUCUUUCAUUUCCUUCUCUUGAUUCCACUUCAACUACCUCCGAAUCCUGGUCCAAACCAAUUGCAUUACUUCUUUCAUUAUGCAUUUGGAUCAUCAUCAACAUUAUUUGUUCUCUUCAAUUUGAUUCAUCUCUUUUGUCACCAAUUUAUCAAAAUCAUACCUUGAAAUGACUCCAAAACUUCAUAAAACUUGUUAGUAACUCUUGCAAGGGCAACAACAUAUUAAUUAAGUGUUUUAGGCAUAGUUACUACUCAAAAGAUGCGAAACUCAUGAUAAUUAUUAUAUAAAAUAUGCUCUUUUUGAGUAGUAAUCAACUUUCUUGCAUAAGCAGACCUUUUAGGGUGGAGUACUAAAGACCAAUAUGCUUGUCCUUGUUGUAAUAAAGAAACUUGCUCUUAUUGAUUGCACCAUGGGAGAAAAUUUUGCUACAUGAGUUAUCAUCAAUUUCUUCCCACCAAUCAUAGAUUUAGACGUGACAAGAGGCCUCUUAAUGGCAAGGAGGAACUGACACUCACACUUAUACAAUUAUCGGGCAUUGAUGUGUUGCAACAAUUAGAAUAACUUACACCAAUUAUGUUGGGGAAGUCACAAAAGGCAAACAUGAAAACUAAAAGGAAAAAAGAAAAAUGUUACAUAUCACCACAACUGGAAAGAAAAAAGUAUUUACUUUCAUUUGCCAUAUUGGAAAGCACUUAUUUUACAUCAUAAUAAUUUAGACAUAAUGCAUAUUGAGAAAAAUGUGUGACAAUAUAAUUGAGACAUUGUUCAGUAUUGACGAAGAAACAAGGACAACCUAAAUAGUCAUCUCGAUUUACAAGCUCUAACUAUUAGAAAUGAGAUUCACCCAAUAGAAAGCAGGACCAAAUUUAUUUUGCUUGCAACAUGCUACUCACUCACCCCAAAUGAGAUUAAGGAAUUUUGCAAGUUUUUGAAAUCAAUAAAGGUCCCCAAUGGCUAUUCUUUCAAUAUCUCUCGUUAUGUGCAACUCAAUGAAAGGAAGAUAUAUGAGCUCAAAUUGUAUGAUUGUCAUGUCCUAAUGCAACAACUUCUCUCACUUGUAGUUCGUGGAGUUCUACAUAAGAAUGUUUGUGGAGUUAUCAUAGAAUUGCGUAAUUUUUUCAAGCAAUUGUGCUCAAAGGUGUUAGAAACAAAUCACUUACACCAACUUGAGAACAAUAUUAUUGUCAUACUAUGUAAAAUGGAGCAAAUAUUUCUUCCAUCAUUCUUUGAUAUUAUGGUGCAUUUACUUGUGCAUCUAGUAAGGCAAAGGUUGCAAGACUUGUGCAAUAUUGUUGGAUGUACCUAAUUGAACGAUAUUGUUAUAAUUUCAUAUGAAUCAUUUAAUUUUAUUUUAUAUUAUGUUCAGUUCAUUAACAUGUACAUUGGUCUACAUAUGGAUGAUGAUAGGUACCUAAGCACUUUAAAGUCAUAUGUGCGUAAUAGAACUUUUCUAGAAGGUUCUAUUGUAGAAAGGUACCUUGCAAAAGAAUGUACAACAUUUUAUUCUAGGUACUUGAAUGAUGUGGAAAUAAAGUAUAAUCACAAUGAUAGAAACUUUGUUGGUUUCAACACUAGAGGAGAUGAAAGGGGUUAUCUUUAAACAUAUUGGACAUGCAUUGGGAAAGCCCAUAUUUCAUUAACUUAGUUCAAAAGAGUGGUCACAAGCACAUUUAUAUGUGUUGACAAAUUGCGAAGAUGUCAUACCAUUCAUUGAGUAAAAAAUUUAUUUGAAUUUUAAUUAAAGCUCUAGUUUAUAUCCUUAAUCAAUGUUUUUUAAAUUCACAAGGAGCACAAGCAAACCAUCAAGGCUAGACCACAUAUACGUGUUUGAGACGUAGAUUUAAUUCAUAACAAGGAAUUUAUCAAGUGGUUUGAAAGACAUGUAAGUAUAUUCCUUAUUAUAAGGGAUUUAUUUCACAUUAUGUUUAUAUUGAAUCCAAACCUAUUAUUGAAUUGUAGGUUGAACAAUUACAUAAUGAAGGUCAUAUAUCUGAACACCUUCUCACAUUAUCAUGUGUUCCAAAUUCAUUAGUUACAUGCUUCAAAUGAUAUAUUGUCAAUGGAUUUAGAUCCCACAUUAAAGAACGUGAUAAAAAAGUUUUUAAAAAAAGACUCAGAAUAAUGGAAUUGUUGUAGUUGCAAAAACGUCAAGCUUUACAAGUGCAUGUGAUAUGAGUCCAAUUAUUAGUGAUGCUCUCUACUAUGGUGUUCUAACUAAAGUUGUUGAGUUACAUUAUCUUGGUGAAAAUAAGGUUGUUUUAUUCGAGUUUGAUUGGUGGGAUGUUACAAAUAUUGGAAAAUUGAUAAAAGAUGAUGAGUACAAUUACACAUUUGUUAACUUUGCAUGAAUUCUAACCACGAACGAACGAUUUGUACUUGCAUCUCCAGCAAAGUAAGUGUUCUAUGUGAAGAAUGCGAAUGAAUCAGAUUGGCAUACUAUCAUGGAGAUGCAACCUCAAGACCUCUAUAAGAUGAACGGGAUAGGAUCCAAUGGUGAUUUUGAACCAUUUCAACAAAGUGAACUACAUGAUCACUAAUAUAUCUCAGAUUUAGUUGAUGAAGAUAUAAUCAAGUGGAACAAAAGUGAUGUUUUAGGACUAAUCAUCCUAAAAAAUAUUGUAGUUUCUUAAAAAAAAAAUGAAAAUGAAGAAGAUAAUUGAACCUUUGUCAUACUUUAAAAAGCAACUAUGCAUUGUUCAUUUUGUAUGUUUUGGUUUUCUUCAUUUAAUUUCCUGAUUUUUGUGAUUCAAUGUCAUAUUAUUGAUCUUGAAAUAUUUUUCUAAUUUUUCAUUCUACGAUGGUUUCAACAAGGAUGACAUCAAGUCAAAAAAGGAAAUGUGGUCCCACACACAAUAUUGCAUUACAGGGAUUAAGGUCAGGGAAGAAGGUAAAAGUUGCAUUUAAUGAGUACAAUCAAUUGGUUAAACAGAAAAAUGGAAAACACUUAUCGAGCUACAUAGGGACACUUGUAUCUAACCAACACAAUGUACCUCUCCAAGCUAGUGAUUGGAAAAAUGUUCCAAAUGAUGCAAAAGAGAAAGUAUGGCCUUUGUUUUGGUAUGUUGUAUUUCUCACUAUAUGAUGUCAUUUCACUGUUAUUCUAUUUUGUGACUAACGUUUGAAUCAUAUGUAAGAAAAAUUUGAAGUAGAUAAAGACUGAAAAGAUUACAUGUUGGGUAUAGCCUCAAAUAAAUAUAGAAGCUAUAAAAAUAUGAUGAAUGCAAAAUACUAUGACCCUUGGCAUAAGGAUGCAUGAGGAGAGGUUAAUACAUAAAUCACCAUUUGUCUCUGAUGUUGAUUGGAAGUGGCUUGUCUCUGAUGCAUAAACCAAAUCCCCCACUGAAUGUUUGAUAUUUGAUAGCAGGAAAAACACACCCGCAGCUAUACACCUCCAUCAUUCAGAUAAUUAUAGUGGGGGAGAUGAUUCAUGGUUGCCCUUAUACCCUUUAUUUGCACCAUCUAUUGAGAUUCUUUAUCAUGGCCAGGUUUUACUGCAGCAAUAAGAUAUGGUGGCAACAAUUUUAUCUAUAGGUGCGGUUCCAGACCGCCUCCAUAGGUGCGGUUCCUGACUGCCUCCAUAGGUGCCUCUUCUUGUAAUGUUUGUUCUGGGAAUUACACUUGAAAGCCUUAUCGUGAUAAGGGAUUACAAACACUAGUUCAGAGGACAGCCAUGUUAAACUUCCACUAUGUUUGUGUCACAUUAUCAGCAGCCUAGUGUUUAUUGGUCAUGCUAUCUGCAACUAAUAUAACCCGGUGAACUUCAAUCUAAAUUCUGAAAGUACUCAUGUGACAGAUGGUGCCUUUCAGCAGAUAUCAUCAAUUUAAAAGUAGUGUGUGUGCCUAUAGGUGGGAAGGCCUUGGCAAAUGUUCAGUAUUCCGGUAAUUCAAGAAGGAUAUAUCUAAAAUAGAUUUUCUUCUUGCCCAUUUCAAUAGUUAAAAUUUGAGAAGAUUGUGUCCACAUCACACAAAUAUUAUUGGUCCUUCUGUUGCAAUUUACCUCUGAACAUGUCUUCCAAUUCCCACGGUCCUGUUACUCCAGGAAAACUAUUUCGGUCAUAUUGAAAAAAAAAAUAUUAAAGAAGGUACACAUGCUUUUAAGUGGACUGGGGCAUUCAUAUCAGGUGGUCUGUAUCCACAUAUGCCACUUCGUGAAAGGUGGAACAGCCUAAUCACUAGGCUAUUUAGUGUGGCCCAGCCACGUUAAUCAAGCACAAGUCUUCAUACUUAAAGUCAAAUGGUGUCUUUAGUCUCAUUACACAUCGCUAUUUGAAGAUUAACUCAUCACUAGUGUAAUGCGAUUAAGACAGUCCUAACUCAAUAUUUGUUCUAGUUUUGGAUGCAAAUGCUUGCUGGUUUCAUCAUUGGAUGGGAUAAAGGUGCAAUCAGGACUAUGAAUACGUGCAGUAAUACUUCAUUCUCUUUUUUCUCAAUGAGACUUCUUGGCACAAUUUUGCUGCUCAGCAACCUACCUUUCCAUGGAAAAUCAGUUGUGACUGAUAGUAAUGGAUAUAUUCUAGAAAGCUAAACAUAGAUAGCAUUCAAUAUUAUCGAUAUAACAUUAACAGCGUAUGUCUCAAUGCUCAUCAGCUACAAGCAAUGGACAAACACUUUGAGUAACUCACAGCAGUCAAAAUUCCUAAACAGGACAGACGUGACAGAUCUAUAUAUAGAACACUGCAUAUGAGUCACAGGAAAAGAUAAUACGGGUACAUAGAAGCUCUUAUUUUACAUAUUACUCAUACUGAUCAAAGUCGCUCAGUUGGGAUGGAUGGGAGAAGGAGGUUUGAGGGGUGGCUUGUGCGGGGAAGUUGGCAGCUUCUUUCCGGGAGCUGGUUGCUUCUUUGCUGGAGUUGAAGGAGGCUUAAUCUUCCGAGGUGGCUUGUAUGAGUCUUCAGCAUUCUCAGCAGGAGGGUGACCAGGGUUGUGACCAUAAUGUGGUGGCUUCUCUCCCUUAGGUGGUUUGCCAACUGGGGUUGGUGGCUUGUUUUCUGGGAGUGGCUUCUCUCCCUUGGGUGGUUUGCCAACUGGGGUUGGUGGCUUGUGUUCUGGGAGUGGCUUCUCCCCCUUGGGAGGUUUUUCGAAUGGGGUGGGUUUGUGUCCUGGUGGUGGCUUCUCUCCCUUGGGAGGUUUACCAAUUGGGGUCGGUGGCUUGUGUUCUGGGAGGGGCUUCUCUCCCUGGGGAGGUUUAGUGGGUGGCUUGUGUUCUGGAGGUGGCUUCUCCACCGGAGGCUUAUGCUCUGGUGGUGGCUUCUCGAAGGGGGGAUGCUCAGGGUAAUCACCAAGUGAGGGGGUGGUGAGAACCACCAUGCCAAGCAACAACACUAGCAAGUAUGUAGUAGACAUCUUUGGGUUUGGACUCAGACAGUGCAAAACUACGAGAAAUCGCUAGCCCUUUAUAGCGGCUCGGACCUAAUACUGACAUAAUAUAAAAUAAAUAUUAUAUUUUAUCAAGAGAGAACAGAGUGUAAUUUUAUCAUUAAUACCGAUCGAGGCCAAAGAAAGAAGACCCAUAAUCCAUUUCCCACAAGCAUACACAAUGCAGCUGUAAUUUUAUCAUUUACUUUUAUCCCUUGGACCACUGCAUUUUUGUUGAGAGACACAAUAACACAUUUUUAUCUGUCAUUCAACAUUUACAGUAAAGAGAGGGCACAAAACGCAAUUAGAUAAAUUAUGUUUUGCCUGCUAAAAAGAGGCAAAUAACUUUAUUUGCAACAUAAUUAUUUUGGUUUCUAGUGACCCCGGGGCCUUUCGGUUGGUUUGGGAUCGGAAAAUGAACAUCAUAGGGGGGGUUGUGCCCUUAUGGGCAUAUAUAUCUGAUAGCUUCAACUGGCCUUGUUCCUAGAAAGAAAUUGCCAAAGAUAUAAACUUAUUCCAGGCUGAAAGUAGAUGAGAGUCAUAAUGAACAUCAACCUUUGUUCAGUUUGAUUCAAUGCCCCCAUAGUGUUCAUUUCACAGAUCUGAAUGAUUAUAUCCGUUGAAUACAUAAAUUAAUGAAGACAAAUAUGAAACCCAAGAUACAUCUCUGCAUAACAACCCCAACCCUGGUUGCUAUGUUUCCCUUCUUCUAUUCACAUGAGGAUACUGGUUAUAAUUGUCAAACUUGCAACAAGCCCUUUGACACCUAACGUCAAUGGACGAAUUAAAAGUCUCCUUCAAACGUCUAUUUCACAGCAUGAAGCUUAUAAAGGAUGCUGACAACCUUCAGAGUUAGCGACAAAAGAUAAUUAUCAAGGAGAGAUAGUUCCAUGAGAAUUCCAAGGAGUCUGAAUCAAAGACAAAUUGCUCACUCAAGGGUUCUUAUUUUCUUUUAGGUACAAAUCUCUUGAGUGUUGUUAAAGAAACACGUCACUGUCAUUUUGAUUUGCAUUUAACAUUUCACUUUUGUUCUGGAAGGUUUGUUCCGGAAACAUAUCAAAUGAGCAUCAUUUUCUUCUUCGGUGACACAUGGUCGCGAGUACGUGGGUCCAUUUUCAUGCCACUUAGUUGAAAAGUUGGAAAGAAAAAACAUGCCAACAAGAAGAUAGUGAGAGAAGGGGCACUUCAAGCCUUUAACAUGAACAAACAGUAAAUAAAAGAUGUUUCUCCACUCAUAAAAGUGUGUUAGAUAGCAAUAUAACGAAUCACAUCCAAAAUCUUUACUAGGCUCAAACAUAAAGAAGACUCAUUUUUAAGAAAAGAUAAAAAUGGCAUUGUCUGAUAGUAUCCAAUACACGAGAUGGCACUUAAUUUGUACAAGAUCUGUCAAUGCUGACGCACAUUUUCUGAUUAAAAAAAAACUGAUCAGUCAAAAGCAAUGAAGAGAAGUGAUGACAAUGAAUGAUGCUUCCAAUAUUUUCACCCCUUAUAGUGUUCUUCAUGAUUCAGAUAUAUAAUUGGAAAUAGAACAACCCUAUGCCAUACAUUCGUCUAAGUAUGGUGUCUAAUUUUUUGUGUCAGCGGUUGCGAAUGGAGCGUGCAAAAGUCCAAAUUGGCGUCUCUCCAUUUCCACAUAGGAAGGUGACCUUUAUUGACAAAUACCCAAUAUUUGUAGACAUUCCUUAAAUAUCAUAACUUCUUGUUGAUUUGAAAAUCAUUUUUCAACUACCAUGUUUUAAUAAAUAUUUUUUAAAAUGUAUUUUUAUCAAAGUCCACCAUGAUGGAUAAUAUUCACCAUGCAAUAAUUAAUAAAGUACAAACUAAGCGAAAUGAAAAGCAUUUUCUUUGCUUUGAGUUGAUUUUGGUUGCAUUGAGUUGAUUUUGGUUUCAUGGUUUUUUCAACUCUUAUUUUGAUUGGAAGAUGUCAAGAAAAGAAAACAUAAAGAAAAAUUAAAAGGGAAAAAAGAAGAAAAAUAAAAAAAAAUAGAUUUAAAAGUUAAUAAAUUAUUUUUUAUAUUUAUUUUAAUUCAUUUCACUUAUUUUUCUUUUACUAUAUAAAAUUUAAAUAAUUUAAAUUUUAUAAUUAAUUUAAUUACAUUUCAUUUUCUUCUAUAUUUAAAUAUUGGAAAAAUAUUUUACUUAAUAUUUUUUUCUUUAAUUUCUUUGGCAUUUUGGGAACCAAACUUAGCCUUUAAAAUAAAAAACAAAAAAAAAAUGAAAAUAAGGAGGGAAAAGUGAGAAAAGAUAAAAACAAUAUGUAAAGGAUUUGAAAAGUAUUAGUUUGUAAUUACUAUUUGGAUUUCAAUAGUAUUUUAUUUGUCUUUCUAUAUUUCAUGUAAGAGAGAAUUUAAGAUAUUCCCCAAGGCAAAGCAUUAGUUACCUGCAAUCAGUGGUGAUAAGGCUCCAAGCCAAUUUUGGGCCCCAUAUCUUAAGACAGUACAAUUUCCAUUUCAACAUUUCUGAUUUCUCAGAUGUUUCACAUACCACAGAAGAACAUUGUUUGUGAAAAUAUGCAUUUAUGUUGGAUUUUGUAUGCUGUGGGGACUGGGGCAAGGAUCAUAUGGAAGAGUGGUUGACUUUUUCUGUACUUUAACGGUUGAAAUAGGAUAAGCACGGGCAUUUGUGAGGCUUAAUUGAUUUUGAAGCCUGAAAUUGCGUUUCUGUCAUUUUGUCAAAAAAAUGGCAGAUUCCAUACUCAUAUGUUUGGCCUGUGGCCAUGUACAGAUGCCAUUUAGUGACCAGUUUGUAACUGUCAAUCGUUGCGUUUUGACUCUGCCUCAACAACAUCUGCCAUUGACGGGUUUUCAUACUUGCAAAUCAAAUAGUCUUUCGUCCCAUCAGGAAUUUCGGUUUAAAUAUUAUUAAGCAUACGUUUGGCUGACAAUCAUUAUCCAGUUCAUGAUUUGGUUUCUUACCCUUAAUCAAUGGUUUCUAAGUGAAUAUAUGUAGAAGGAAAUCCGAAGUGUAGACAGUAGUAUCGAUAACUCUCAAUAUUCUCUAUAUAAUAGAAUAAACAGCGUCAUAGUGAUCGUCGCCUACAAGCAAGGUACAAAUACCAAAACGAGUGACUCACAUAGACAUCUCCCAACAAGAUGUAGUAGUGACUGACACAUGGACACAAUUAACUCGUAGAAAAGGAUAAGACCAUUGCACAGCAGCUCUUAUUUUACAUACUACUUAUGCUAACCAAAGUCAAUUAGUUGGGAUGGGUGGGAGAUGGAGGUUUGUGCGGUGGCUUGUGGGGCGGAGUUGAUGGCUUCUUUCCAGGAGCUUCUGGCUUUUUCAUCGGAGCUGAAGGAGGCUCAAUCUUAUGAGGCGGCUUGUAUGAGUCUUCUUUACUCUCGACAGGAGGGUGGCCAGGGUUGUGAUCAUAAUGUGGUGGCUUCUCUCCCUUAGGUGGCUUGCCAACUGGGGUUGGUGGCUUGUGUUCAGGAAGUGGUUUCUCUCCCAUGGGAGGUUUAGCAAUUGGGGUUGGUGGCUUGUGUUCUGGGAGUGGCUUCUCUCCCUUGGGAGGUUUAGUAGGUGACUUGUGUUCUGGAGGUGGCUUCUCCACCGGAGGCUUGUGCUCCGGUGGUGGCUUCUUGGUUGGAGGGGGCUUGGGGUAAUCAGCAAGAGAUGGGGUGGUGAGAACCACCAGUCCAAGGAACAACACUAGCAAGUAUGUGGGAGACAUUUUUGAGUUUGGGCUGAUCAGAUGAUGCAAAACUAAAGCAUUACGUGACCUUUUAUAGCAUGUAGCUCCCAAUACCCACUAAGUAUUGUGGGGUCCAUUUGUGCCCUACGGGGUUGAAAACUUAGACAAUUGGGCAAGGACCCACCUGACUAUGGAGGACUAGUGAGGUGUGAUCAUAGCUUUAGGAUUUUUCUUCCUCUGCAGCCGUCGUGCCGUUGGCAUGAUUUUCUUAAUCUUAAAUAAAGGCAUAGUUAUAGAGUUGUUUAAUCUCUAAAUGGGAUUUUAUAUAUAUCUUCAGAUAGCCAUUAAUAUAUUUGAUGAAGAAAGAAAGACAAGUGCAUACAACAUGUAUACGACUAGCUUUCAUGGAGUUCAUUUAUGAUCAGUUUUCCUGUACAUGUAAACCAGGAUCAUAUAUAUGUUUCUGUUCCACAACUAUUUUGGAAUCUUGUUUAUCAGUUUUUAUCAUUAUAAUGUCACAUAGGCUGCCAACUUGGGCGCUAAAAGAACCAGUUGGGCUAGUUCGUUUCAGAAUUUCAAUGUGGAUUCAGGAAUUGUUUUGUAAGAUAUGCGAAAUAGUAGAGGGAUGAAUAGUGUUUCAUUAAUAAAAGUGUCCUGUAAAUUAGAAGGUGUCAUAGAAACUAUAAUCAAUAAAUAACUUUUUUUCCCCACGGGUGGUGUUUCUUGUGGGGAUCAGUGACUGGUUUAGGUUCACCCAAAAUGAGUUCAGACUAAAAUUGGUUUGAGUCAAUGCCGUGUCUCUUUUUUCCAGAAAUCAACUAUUUUAUGCAUUGAAUAAAUCAUACAAAGAAAAUAUGAACGCCCGCAAAACCUAAACCCUGGUUGCUAACUUUCUAUGUUUCAGUUCUAUUCACGCAAGAAUAUUAGUUUAAGUUUGGGAAAAAUGGCAACUUACCUAGUGAUUACUUGGUUUUGGUUUGCGACUAUUUACGCAACCAACCAUGAGUUUGACUUUAACGUCAUGGGUUGAAGCCUCCUACAGGAAGGGAGAAAGCUCCACAGCUAGCUCCAAAAGAGAAUUAUCACAUUGAUAGCUCCAGAGAUUCCCAAGGGGACUGAAUCAAAGACAAGUUCCUCACUUUUUCUUCUUUUGAGGCCAAAUAUGAACCAAGGAUCACACAACCUCAUUCAACUUCAUAAGUUUGAUUUCAUGCAGUUGAACACUGGGUGAAGGCCAUGACAAGAAUUGAUUCAAAAAUUCUAUCACUCUUUUAAGUAAUGGAAGAUUAUUAUCUCUGAUUGGCAUCACAACAGCACAUGCUCCUAGAUCUUUCUAGACACUCCAUGCAAUGAAAGCACAAUGGAUCUUGUAACGAUAGAAACUAAGCCAUGCUACAGUACUAGAUGAUGAGGUAAAACUAGUAGACACGGGUGGCAGCCUAUAUGGGAGGGACACAAGUCUAAUUGAUUUGCAUUUCAGCAUUAUAGAUAGGUAUGUUUUGGAAGAUUUGUUCUGGAAAUACCGCACCAAGUAGGAUUCUUUUUCUCUUUAGUGGGUCCACUUGCAUGCCAAUUAACGAGUUGAAAAGUAUGAGCACCUACCUCGUGCUCGUGGAACCGAAGGUCAGUGAAGUGGGGCUCCUUUUGGCCUCGUGUAAACUUGAUUCAGAAGUGAAGUUAAUAGUCUUCCAUUCAGAUGGAUACAUGGGAAUUUUUCUCUUUUAUUUAUUUAUUUAUUUUUUUUUUGUGUGUGUAUGUCAAAGGAUAAUGAAUGAAGCGCGUUAGCUUGUUUUCUGACUGGAACCGCAGAUGUCCAAAUUGGAGUUCCUUCAUUUCUUACUUAGGAUUGUUACAUGUAUAAACAAGGUAUAAGAAAUAUGCCAACGUGUCUUGAGGAGUUAUUGAUUAGAAAUAACAAGUCACCCGACUGUAGAGUUCCAAGAUUUGAAUCUUCAGACCCUAUAGCAGCCUCUGGGGUACGUGGCAUCCUAUAGCAUAUUAAUGAAGGCUUUUUCGAUUUAGACUUCACAAUACCAAUUAAUAUGUAUGCACAAAAUGGAGAUGACCCCAAAAAAAACAGAAUCGCCAUAGUUUAUGAGGUUAAGGUGAUUCUCCACUUAAUAUCUACAUUAGCUAAUUAUGUAAAUCAAAUGAACUUCUAUUUUUCCUUUUUUUUUUUGGUUUAUGUCAAAUAGUAGCCCAUAAUUAACCCAACCAUUAGCCUGUUUGAAUUGAUUUCACAUGCACAAUGUUGUAGUAGUUCAUAUUUUGAAUUUUAUUUUUACAAAGGUAGUUAAGGAAAAUGAAGUAUAAUAAUUAUAAAAGCAGACUAUAUACACUACAAUAAUUGUUAGAAUGGUAUCUCAAAUUCUAAUUUAAAAUAUUAUUUUUUGUAAAAGAAAUAUUAUAUAGAAUAUUUCCUAAUUUUAUAAAUGAUUAUAAUUAGAUCUUUAUAAAAUAAGGAAAGUUGGUAAGAAUAUCUUUAUAAAUAUUUUAGGUCAUGAGAGAAAGAAAUGGGAUAAAAAUGUGAUGAAGAGGUGAAAUAAGAGAGUUGAUUAGGAUAUAGAUGUGAAGAAGAAAGGGAUUCAAUAUAUAUAUAUCUUUCAAUUACCACAUUAAAACCCUGUGAACCUUUUAUAUGGUUUACUUUAUUUUUAUAUUCCUCCUUUAAUAUAUUUACAUUAAUGCUUCCAUUGGCACAACAAUAACGAAUUACAAAUACAAGCAACAAGUCCCAUGUUUUAUUACCAAAAGCAGGUAAAAUCCACCUAAUAUAUUACAAUAUAUUCAUCCAAUAUUUUAGACCAAUUCUUCACCAUAAAUAUCAUAAUGUGGCUUUUGUUCUUUCUUAAAUUUAAAUUGAAUUGUCUUAUAUCAAUUUGUUUGUGAUUUUUUCAUUAACUUCACUUUCAUUUGGUUAUCUUUGGUUUUUGAAAAGUAUUAAGGAAUUAAUUAACAAAAUAAUGUUAAGAAAAAUAAUUUUCUCUCUUUUGAUUUUGAUUUUGUAGUAGAAAAAUAUAAUUAAAAUUAUUUAAAAAGUAUGUAAUUUUAAAUUAUUUAAUAUUUAGAUAAAAAAAAUAAGUCUAAUGAGUUUAAAAUAACAUAUAAAAAUAAUUUAUUUAUUUUAAAUUUAUUUUUUAUUUUCCAUUAUGUUCUCUUUCUCUUUUACUUUUUCAUAUUUUUUCUUACGAAGAAUCAAACACAACCUCAUAUUAUAUGUCAAGUGUUUGUCUAUAUUUGAGCAAUGUUAGAUACGGCCAUGGAUUCAUCAAACUAAACUGAUUUUAAUAGAUACUUCACAAAUUGAUUUAUACACUAAAUCAUUGGAUAGCAAUGAUGCAUUGGAAUUAAACGUAGGAUGAAGCUCGAAGAACACUGUUUGUGUAACAACAUAUUUAUGAAAUUAUGCAAAGGAUGAGCUUCGGGGUAGUAGUACAAGGUCAUUAAUGGAGAGCCGUGUUAAACCUUGAUUGUGAUUGGAUUCCGUUAUCAGCAACAGCAACCUUGUUUGUAACCUUGAAAGUCAUUCUGUCCACAUCGAAACUCCAAUUUGACGUUUGUAAUUACCAUUCCUGGAGUGUUCCUUGAUUGAAAUUUAAAUAAUAAUUGCGGCCCACAAGGAAUAUUUUCGAUUCUGUGGGAAUUUGACAAGGUUUGUUAGAGAAGACUGGUGACAUGUUGACUUCAAUGGUUCAAAUAGGAGACGUAUGUGGAUUUGGGGGGUUUAAUUGAAACUGAGUCCCUAUGGCUUUUUAAUAUUUGCAUUGAGCAGUCUCCAUGUGACUUCCUAAUUCCCACCAACCCUCCUGUCCAUGCUGUGAAACUAAAUUGUAAUUUAUCAGCCUUUGUCAAUGGUUUCUAAAUUAAAGAUAUAGACCAUGCAUGUACUUUAAUAAAAGCAAAUCUAAAGUGUAGAUAGCAGCAAUGGUGACACCCAAUAUUCUCCAUAAAAUAGAAUUAGAAUAAGCAGUGUUACAUUGUUCAUGAUCACCUACAAGCAUACAAGAACUUCCAUGAAUAACUCAUAGCAAUUGCCAACAGGGCGUCGUAGAGACUCAUACAUAGAACACUAUCCACCCAGAGGAAAGGACAAGACCAGUGCGCUGCAGCUCUUAUUUUUCACAUGUAUACCACCACUCGUAAUAACCAAAUUCACUCAGUUGGGAUAGGUGGGAGAUGGUGGUUUGUGGGGUGGCUUGUGGGGAGGAGUUGGAGGAGGCUUUAUUUUCUGAGGCGGCUUGUAUGAGUGUGCAGGAGGAUGCCCGGGAGUGUGACCAUAAUGUGGUGGCUUCUCUCCCGUAGGUGGUUUGCCAAAUGGGCUUGGUGGCUUCUCUCCCUUAGGAGGUUUACCAAUUGGGGUUGGUGGCUUGUGUUCUGGGAGUGGUUUCUCUCCCUUGGUAGGUUUGCCAAUUGGGGUUGGCGGCUUAUGUUCUGGGAGUGGCUUCUCUCCCUUGGGAGGUUUGCUAAUUGGGGUUGGCGGCUUAUGUUCUGGGGGCGGCUUCUCUCCCUUGGGAGGUUUGCCAAUUGGAGUUGGCGGCUUAUGUUCUGGGAGUGGCUUUUCUCCCUUGGGAGGCUUGCCAAUUGGGGUUGGCGGCUUAUGUUCUGGGGGUGGCUUCUCUCCUUUAGGAGGUUUGCCAAUUGGAGUCGGCGGCUUAUGUUCUGGAAGUGGCUUUUUUCCCUUGGGAGGUUUGCCAAUUGGGGUUGGCGGCUUAUGUUCUGGGGGUGGCUUCUCUCCCUUGGGAGGUUUGCCAAUUGGAGUCGGCGGCUUAUGUUCUGGGAGUGGCUUCUCUCCCUUGGGAGGUUUUGUUGGUGGCUUGUGUUCUGGAGAUGGCUUCUCCCCUGGAGGCUUGUGCUCCGGAGGUGGCUUCUGAAAUGGCGGGGGCUUGGGGUAAUGAGCAAGAGAUGGAGUACUGGUGAGAACCACCAUUCCAAGCAACAAUACUAGCAA